CUAACCCUCAAGUUAGUGAUCAUGUGUCACACCCCAAUAAUCCCACAUCGGAUAGGAAUGGAGAUGUGAUUGGGUAUAUAAGAGACUUAGACACUAGUAAUAAUAACUGGGCUUAAGCAUUUUGGGCCGGUGGUUGGGCCCAACGAGUUAUUAUUGCUAGUGGGUUGGGUCGUUAUAUUUGGUAUUAGAGCCAAUCACCAGCCGAAAAUGUGUGGCGAGUCUCGGCCAUAGUUAGUUAAUUCGGAUUCGGCAAAAAUUCGGUACGGGUAUAAUUCGGAUAAAAUUCGUCUUCUAAUUUUUAAAUUCGUUGAAAAAUACGGCUAAAAAACGGAUUUGUCAAUUAUUCGGAUACGUGAUUUAUACGGAUAUUAUACGUUCACCAAUUAAAAAUUCGGGAUCAAAAAUUCGGCUAUUAAAUUAAAUUUGUUUUCUUUCAAGAUUUAUACUAUUAGUAUAAAUAUUCAUAUUUCUUAAGAAUAUAAGAAUAAAGAGCUACAAAAUUAAGUUAAUUAAGUAAAAAAAAAAUAGCAAACUGUAUUAUACCUUAAAAUAAAUAAAUAAAUAAAGCAAAUAAGAAAUUAAGAUAGUCUAUAAAAAAUCUAAAAUUUUUUUGAUUAGAUGAUAUUUUUAUUUUUUUGGAAGGGGAGCGGGAAAUUGAUUUUUUUUUUCUUUUUCUAUUGUUAUGUGUAAGCGUGAACAUUGAUUUUAUUUUUUUUUUUUUUUUUUGGGCAUACCACGGAGCAUCAGCUGCCAGUGCUCGCAGCCUCGCUCGAUGUCUCGCCGCUGUGCUCGCGAGCCGCGCGAGUGGUGCGCGGCCCGACGCGCUCAGUCGCUCGCAGCCGUAGAGGCCGCGUUCUUUGGCGAGCGAUAAUACGCGCGCGGCGAAUUUAUUCGGCGUAAUUCGAUUUACCAAAAAAUACAGCGUCUGUUUUUCUUGAAAUUCGAAAAUAACGAAUUGUCGUCUUAUUCGUCUUUUUCCAAAAUUCGACGAAUACAUUUCGCCGAUAAUUCGAGCGAAUUAACUAACUAUGUCUCGGUGAGCGAGGGUUGGAAAAUAAGGUGAUAGACUGGUGUCGGAGUCUGUAUUGAAAAGGUGACGCUAUACAGAAUCUAGAUGACAAGGCUGACAAGUCUCACAUUGAUGGUGGAUUUUGGGCUGUGUGUGCUGAUUUGCUGUAAUAUAUUUGAACCUACGAAAGAAAUUAUGCAACUUUAGUCAAAUUGACUAAAGUGGUGAAAAAUUAGUUGACAAGUUCAAUUAGCAUCUCCAACUAUGUUGAAAGCGUAGAAUGACGUUUAAGAGUCUGUUGAAAGUGUUUUAGUAAGCGACGCGCGCAAAACAGAAUCGAAAACGCGCGCAAGAACUGCAUUCUGGACAAGUGUCCGCGUACACCAGCGAGUUGUCACGGUUACAGCCCCUGCAAACGAGAGAGUAAAGCUCUUCGGCGUUUGGAAGAAAAAUUCGAAGUGUACAGUACACUUUGAAAAUAUACCGGUAACAAUGCUCGAAACCGAGAAGAGUCUGCUACUCGGCGUUGCCACUGCGCCAGAAUGUACCGGUACAAAAAUCCCGUGUACCGCGUACACUUUGGUCUCCAGCAGAAAUGACCUGUUGCAAAUAAGAAAGGUUUUGGGGGCCUUAGUUGACUUUUAUUGUUGCAACCUUAUUGACCAAGCGUUCUCCUUUCAACAGCGCAGCCACUCCUUUUGCAUCUCCUCUAUUUUCUCUUUCUCUCUCUAGAAAGCUUGCCUAGGGUUUAGAGAAGAAGGAUUGGAAGCUUGGGAGAAGUGUGAUGGAUUUUGGAGGUUAUGUGGUGGCUCUAGAAGCUCUCCUACAAGAAUGAGCUUGGGGAUAGCUUUGGUAGCCCAGGGUAAGUUAUGCAUAACUCUCUAGGGUUAGGAUUCUUACCUUAGGUUUUGGAGUUUUGGUCUCUUUAGAGGCUUUAGAAGUAUAAUAGAGCCUUGAACACCAUGAAAACAUGAUUUUCUCAAGGUACUCUCAUGGUGGAUUGUUAGAAUCCAAAGUAGAUGCCCUAGGGAUGGUUCUAAUGGCUAAGGGGUGGUAUUAGAAUGCUUUCUAGGUAAUUCUAAGUUAGUUUUUGCUUAGGUAUGAGAUCAAUCUAGGGAGAAACCCUAUAUGACAUUGUUAGAGCUUGGAAAUUGGGGCUUUUGCCUCCGGUCGUUUUCGAGGCAAAUUGACCUCUUGGAAACCUAAUUAGGGGUAUCCCCGACGCACGGGACAACUCCGUUUGACGUUACGAAAAGCUUAUGUAAGAGUUUUAUGUUUUAAGCCUAAUUUGGCUUUAUUUUUGGGUUUAAGUCGCGGGAUAGGCAUCAUAAAAUUGCGAGAGUUGAACUACAACCCUACUACAAUAUUCAAGGUGGGGGAUGCACGCCGGAAUCGUUGGAUUCCUUUUUAUGUCUAUUUCGCCUUUUGUUGAGCAUACUAUGUAUAGAACCAUUCAUGCAUGAUAGGGUAAAUUAUAUGUGAAACUUAGUUAAACUUCAUUUAUAUGCUUCUAACGUAGUUGAAUAUAGAGAAUGAUAGAAUCAUAAUUGUAACACACUGGACCUUUGCAAAUUGCGAGGUUCGAGUGUUUGGAUGUAUUUCGAGCUUUUCCACACUUGGUGGAGGGUUGUAGAAUGUUUUCCGACCUAAAAAGUUCGAAAACUGGAAUUUCUAGACAAGUCCUGAGAGUUUUUACUCUCGGGGACCGGUCCCUGAAAGGAGAGACCGGUCCCCCAGUGAGCAGUGUUGGGGCAGCCUGAGGCAACCGGUCCCUGGCAGGCGAGAUCGGUUCCCGAGCGCGUUCUCGCAGUGAGAGACCGGUCCCGCGCAGGGAGAGACCGGUUCCCGAACGCUGGGUUUUCGGGUUCCCAGCGAGAGACCGGUCCCUGCUGGGGAGAGACCGGUCCCUCUGGGCGAAAACUGCCCAGUCCGGGCUGAUGUAAUAUUGAUUAUUUGAGGGGCCUCUCUGGAUUUUGUUACACUAGAUGGGCUUAUUAACUAUUCCCUCCUCUUCCCUCUCCCAUUUCUCUCAUUCUCACCCUCUCCCUACACUUUCUAGAGAGAGAAGAAGAAGAAGGAGGAGAAGAAGAAGAGGAGCUAGCUUGGAGGAGCUUGGAGCUCAACCCCUUUCUCUCUUUUCCACCUUUGCAAGGCUUGGAGCUUGCUUGAAGGGCUUGGUGGUGGACCAAUCUUCAACCCUAGAAGAUUUGGAGCUUGGAUUGGAGCAUCCUAGAGGUAUGUGGCAAGGCUCCUCCCUCUAGACCUUAGUUUUGGAGCUUUUGCUUGUUUAAACCCUAGAAAUGAGAUUUAGGGUUGGUUUUGGGGCUUUUUGAUCUAGGGCUUUUGGGGCUAAGAUUGUCGGCGGAGUAAACUUCCUAGGCUGGCUGUGGUAAGGUCUAGAGCCUUGAAGAGAGUUUACUCUUGAGGUGAGUUUUGCUUUUUGCUUCUAGGUUAAAUUGAUCGUUUAAUAUGAUUAUUGUAAUGCCGCCUCGUAUUCUUCGCUUGAUUCUUUUAGCGGAUUAUUUGAGACUGGGGACAACUUGCGUUCGGCAGAGGCGAGGCUAUACGCGACGGUUCGGUGCGGUGACCAUAGCCCACAAUGAGGAAAAUUCUCAUAUGUGCUUAAUUAAGUAGUUGUUAAAUGAAAAUAGAGCAUAUCUUUGUCUAUAUGUAUUUAUUUGUGAAUUUAAGAAUGCUUAAAAGGGCUAGAUUAUAUAUAAUGAAUUUUUGCGACCUCUAUAUAGUAGAGAGUGCUUUUAGGCCAUAGGAUAUUAGAUUCUAUGUGAGACGGGUAUCAUGCUUCUAUUAGUAUAAUAAAUGAGUCGAUCAUGCCAUUUAAACCUAGUUUACUUGAUGUGACGUGAAAUUGACAAGAUCUGUUCAUUUAGAAGCUAUGUGAAUUAGAGAGCUCAAUGUCAUCAAGCGCAUUAGAGCCGGAACAUGUGUGAACUAGUAGAUAGGGCCAUCGGAGGACUUGGAUACAUGUUGGACACCAAAGCUCUAAGUGUCAAUAAGGGGACUUAGGGUAGCAAAUUUUGAAACUUACAUUCGUGUUUAAACUAGAUUUCGGGAUGCUAGUGACCUUUACCAUGUUGAGAGAAAUGAAGGAUUGAUAUUUGAGACUUGGACCUUGUGCUUGCCAUUUGUGCUAUUCCACAUACUUGUGGGGUCGCUCCCACAAGCGGACUCCGGAGUUAGCCUAUGCGCUUAUGUAGCGCUCGUGCGGUAUCGAGGAAGCCUACGAGGGUCGAGUGGAGACAGACACAUCAUGAAGUACGAUGUCGGGCUACCACAGGCACUUUAGCGGCACAGCUCGACUACCUUUGGUAAUGGUCCCAAUGUGAAAUGCGAAAUCGACACAGUUGAGAAUGAUACACCCCUACUAGUUAGCUUUAGUUAGUGGAGUACAUUUACAUGCUAUAGCAUAGGUUAGAAUGUAUACAUUGACGGUUACCUAUUUCAUCACAGUAUACUUGGUUGCACGAUAGAGCUGAUAUCAUGAUUUGAAAUAAGGGUGUGUAUCAGUAAACUAUUGUCAUUGGUUACCUUCCACUUAUGAUAGAAUAUAAGUUACAAUAUUUUGACAUCGUCCUGCUUAUGAGGAUAUAUUAGAUAUCAGUCAAUUUAUAUUGCACUCUUUCAGCAUGUUUAUUUACAUGCUCUUUCAUUGCUUAUUACUAUAUUAAGCAUAUUACAUUACCCUUGUUUUGGGGCCUAAGUGCACAGGAGCUGGAGCGUCAGUAAUUGCCUGACGGAACUAUAAUUCUAGUUCUCACGCCCUCUUUUUUCCGAUGUUUCAGAUCGCCUUCCACUCAGGGUGAGGCAGGGACGCGAGAGGAGCUGCUUCGAGUUAGUCCUUCGGAGACGAUUCGCUAGGUGGUCUACCUCUCGUUGUGUUUUAUUUUUGGAGAGGUUGAGAGUUCUACCAGUGUAUUAGUGACUACCAUUUUUGUAUUAGAGGCUGAUACUGUAUAACUUAUGUUUACUUUCAUGUGUUAGUUAUGUUCUAUUACUAUUGGUGUAGAUGUUAGAACUUUACUCGCUCUGAUAUCAUUAGUUGUUAGUCAUUUCACUUCUUCUAUUUGUUCUACUGCUUGCCUUUACUUCCGCUUUUAUUGUAGACGCCUUAUAUGUGUAGACAUAUGGCGGGUCUGGGCACGCCACCGGGAGGGCCUCCGCCGGUCCCGGGGCGUGACAAUAAUGGACGUGUAUGUAGAGCCCUAAAGUUGUAUGAAUGUGAGACUUGUACCUCGAUUAUAGUAAACAAAAAGGUGACAUUGACAAUAGAGACAAGAUUGGUAUUGAGAAUGAAAUUGUUAAACAAGAUUUAACCAUUAGUGGCAUUGUGACAAGAAUGGCUUAAAGAGUGGCAUGAAUAAUAUAGGUAGAAUCCUAUUAUUGAGAUAUUGGCAUUGUGACUAGUGGCUAUACAUUCCCUAUGUGGGAAUUGGAUCGAUACUCACGAUAAGUCUUGGCUUGAGGGAGGUAGUUUUCCCUCAAGCGGUGCGUUCCGGAAUUGUCACUACGGGGAGCGCGGUCCCCGAAGACGGUCCCUCGGGUCUUGUAGUGCUUAAAGCCUCCCCGAAUGAAAUGAAUUUUCGGUUGUGAGCUAUUGGGGUUAACAAAGUUAACCGAUAAGAUUCGGUAAAAGCCAAAGUGAAAUCGUGGAAAAACAUGCAUACAUAAUCAUUCCUUAUUCGAAUAUAUAUUUUCUGACAGCUUUCUUACAAGCAUAGUAUUAGCAUUAGUAUUGGUUACAGUUUUCCUUUCCUUUGAAAUACUUAUGCCUGAAUAGACCUAGUGGGUAAGUCGGCGAAGUCGGUUGCCGAACCCACUGGGAACUUUGUUGUAGUUCUCACACCACUAACCCUACAAAUUCGAGUACGAGCGGGGCAGCGGAGGAUCGAGGCAAGGGUAUCGCGCCAUAGCUAGUGGCCACCGGAGUACUUGCAUUUUAGUCAUUCCCUUUUUGGUUCAUGUAUCAACUUUUAUUUUGUUGAUUUAUAGAUGUAAAAGUUGAAAACAAUUCAUAUAUUUUGGAGAAUGAUUAAGAUGUAAAAGAAUUUAUGAAUGAAAGAAAAUGAAUGUAAUAGUUUUAGUUUACUAGUAUUUGGUUUAAAUGUAAUCAAAUAUUAUGUAUGGUUGUAUGUUGUAGCUUAGAACUUUCGCUUCCGUUGUCGCUUGCCCUCGUGCAAGCCUUGUAUAAUUGCAUAUCUCUUUGUUUGAUUGCUUAAUUAUACUUGUUGUUAGAGCCUUGGGCGGGUGGGGAAGGCCCUGUCCGUUCGGCGUCUGUUGACGUGACCCGAACCCGACCAAAUUGGCGGGGAGCGGGGCGUGACAAUUGGAUUAACGAGAACGUCAGGGCCUUAACAGGGGUAAUCUGUCACACCCCAAUAAUCCCACAUCGGAUAGGAAUGGGGAUGUGAUUGGGUAUAUAAGAGACUUAGAUACUAGUAAUAAUAACUGAGCUUAGCAAUUUGGGCCGGUGGUUGGGCCCAACGAGUUAUUAUUAUUAGUGGGCUGGGUCGUUACAUCAUGCUUGAUUUUGAAUUUAUAUAUAUAUUUUAUCUUAAAAUAAAUUAUACUUUAAUUUAUCCUACAUUUUAUUGUAAUAAAAUAAAAGCGAAAGAAAUGAAUUAGAGUAGCUUAAAGAUAAGAAAAGAGCGAUUCUAACUACCUACGAUGCUCGAACACUCUACUAUCCUGGUGUACUCGCUAAUAUGGUUGAUUUAUAAUAGGUGUCCUUACUCGGAUAUAGAGAUUUUAAUUCUCAGUUAAUUUUCUUUAGUUCUCGUUUGUCUCUUUUAUUUUUAGAAGAAUUGUUCUAAAAUAUUAUAAAAUAUUAUUUUAUAUUAAAGUUUUCUAAUUGGUUGAAAUGAAGUACAAAAAAUUUAUUUUAGACUACAAUAAAAUUACAUUGCAUAGUUUCAUAGAAAAUAACUGUAUUUUCUAGAAUAAUGCUUUUAAAGAUAAAAUGGACAAACGAGUAUUAACUGAGAAUUAAAAUCUCUAUAUUCGAGUGAGGACACCUAUUGUAAAUCAACCAUAUUAGCGAGUACAGUAGGAUAGUAGAGUGUUCGAGUAUCGUAGGUAGUUAGUAUCGCUUUUUUCUUAUCUUUAAAUCACUCUAAUUCAUUUUUUUCGCUUUUAUUUUAUUACAAUAAAAUGUAUGAUAAAUUACGGUAUAAUUUAUUUUAGGAUAAAAAAUAUAUAUAAAUUCAAAUCAAGUAUGAUCACUAACUUGAGAGUUAGUAGUCAAUCCAUAAGUAACAUAAUAGGGUAAAUUGCACUGCUACCUCUUGAACUUUUGGCGAGUUUUACUUAACCCCCCAAACUCCUAAAAUAGAUAUCUAACAUCCUAAACACUAAUAUUUCAUUCGUUUUAUCCCUUCCGUCAGUUUUCCAGAGCUUGACGGAAAACUGACGGAGGGUAACAAGAAUGAAAUAUUAGAGUUUAGGGUGUUAGAUGUCCAUUUUAAAAGUUCGAGAGGUAAAGUAAAACUUCGCCAAAAGUUCAGGAGGUUACAAUACAAUUUACCCGGCAAUUGAUUAUAAAUUAAAAAAUGACUGACAUUUUUUUUGUCCACCCUUACAUUUGAUCUGAUGGCACAAAUUUAUUAUUUCGUAAAAAUUUUUAAUAAAAUAAACUGGAGGAGCAUUUUUGAAGAACAAAAAAAAGUAAGAGAACUGGCACUUUCACAAGUACUAUAGGAAAUUAUAUGGAUUUUUAUAGAUGUUAUAUUUCUCUCUUUUUCAAGUUACAAACGUGUUAUCACACACGAAAAUAAACACUAAUGUUUUUUUAACCGUGCUUUAUCUUUCUAGAGAGUUCUUUUUGGACGUUUAUAUUAUGUAUUGCGUAAAAUAUAAUUUUGGUCCUCAAAUUAUGACGUAUGUGAUAUUUUAGUUCUCAAAUUUUAAUUUAUUAUAAUUUCUAGCUCGGACUACGGCACGUGUGAUAUUUUAUUUCUCGAAUUUUAACUAAUUGCAACUUGUGACUCUAAUUAUAAGGUAUGUGAUAUUUUAAUUCUUAAAUUUUUUAUUUAUUACAAUCAAGUUUCACUACCGAUGAAUUAUUAAUAUCGAAGUAAUGUAGCAAUCAUCAAAUAGGAUAUUGCUAUAAUUAAAAAAAAUUAUGGGCUAAAGUGUUACACAUCUUAUAAUUUAAGUCAGAAAUUACAACUAACUAAUAUUCAAGAAAUAAAAUGUUGCACGUCUCGUAGUUCAAGCUGAAAAUUAUAAUAAAUUAAAGUGCGAGAACUAGCUAGAGUGCCACGUGCCUCAUAGUUUGAGGUCCAAAUGUGUAACUGACUCUUACGGACUUGAAUAACUUAGCUAAAAUAAUAUUUUUGUAUAAUCUUCAGUAAAAUCUUAAUGCGUUAAUUACGUAAAUAUAUUUUGAGAAAGUCUGCAAUCCAAAGCGAUAGCAGUCCUUGCAAAUCCUCAUCCAAGGGGGGUUACAGUAUUCACCGACCCUUUUUUAAAUUUUAGUUAAAAAAGAAGAGAGGGACAAGUUUAAAAAAGAAAACCCUAGAGUUGGGUUGUUUACUUUUUUGGUUGACCACUGGCAAUGAUGCUGACGUUUUGAUUAGCCGACCACAUCAACAAAUUGCACAAGUAAUAUAUAUAUACCAAAAGAUUAAAAUGUUACAAGGAUAUAAAGUGCUUUCCCAAAUAGGGCAUAUAUAGCUUUGCAAUAUACCUACCACUGUGCAGCACCACAUCCCCCUUUAACUGCAAAAUGUUGAGCUUCUUUCCAUGUUUGCUCAAGUUAUCUUUUUUAACUUCAAAAAAGUUAAGGUUGGAUCGAAUCAGGGAGUGAAGUGUCAUUCACAUUGAAAAGAGAGUAGUAGUAGUAGUAGUAGUAGUAGUAGUAGUGGGGUGAAGUGGGGGGAUUUUAUGUGUGUGUAUGUGUGUGUGUGUCUCUCUCUUAUGAAAGCACCACUAAAAUGGGCGCAUGCUACAGGAUGAACAAAAAUAGAACGUGUGGAAAACACAUUCACUUCACUGGUUUUGGAACUUGUUGCCUUUUAAAGCAAUGAGAAUUAAGUAGCUCUCUUUCUAAGUGAAUAUAUAGUAGCUUUUUUCAAUAGCACUAGCACUUUUUUGUGCAUGGCUCUUUUGGUGAGAUUCCUCCGUGUCAAUUUGGUGGCUCUUCGAACUGCUUUUGUGUGCAAUGACUCAAUGAGGAAUAUGAUAAUUAGGUGUUUAGGAAGCCAUAGGAAUCAUAAAAACCUUGGACUCAAAAAAGUGAAAGGUAAUUAAGAGUGCUAUGGAAGUGGCUUGAUCUUACUAAAAAACAAAAAAGGGUUGGCGCUUUGAUCUCCAUAGGGUAUAAACAUGGGCCCAAAGCAAUUUUUGUGUGCUUGUGUGUGUGCAUGUUUAUUUGGAGGGAAGGGGAGUGGUUACUUUAUCGUGUAUAUCACUUUAUGAUUUGAGUAUUGUAGAUAAUAGACGAAAAAUUAGGCCUGCAUAUGUGUGUGCAUGUUUAUUUGGAGGGAAGGGGAGUGGUUACUUUAUCGUGUAUAUCGCUUUACGAUUUGAGUAUUGUAGAUAAUAGACGAAAAAUUAGGCCGGCUUAGGGGCUGUGACGCCUCGCUUUUCAGGAGGCCAUUUAUCUAAAACUAUUCUAGUUUUAACAUGUUUAUUUUUUUUUUAUUUUUUAGGCCUAGCCAAUUCCCAAUAUGUUAUAACCGUGUAAAUUAAGAAAUUUAUAAGCACCGAGCGAUGUGAGAAUCGUAUUCGGGAGCCACACUCCAUCCACAACGGUCGUCAGCCGGAAUUAAAGUCGUGUUCUGUCUGUUGUGUGACCUUGACUCAGCUGAGACUCAUCUCACACUUUCAACUGGUGGUUUGGCUAGCUCUUACAUCAACUGUACUGCCCCGCUUUUCCGGAGGGUCACCCAUCAUAGAAUUGCUCUAGCCAUAACCCUCUUAACUUGUUGGGACUAGUCACCGUCCAAAAUGCUAUAAUUGGCUUAAAAUGUUUAGUCCGAUUAUAUCUCGUAUAUAAUACUAUUUUAAAUUCUGGGGGUGCACAUAGGGGCCAUUUGGUUGAAUUAAUAUAAUUGGAAUCGCAAUAUAGUUGGAUAUAUAUGCAGUUAAAAAUACAGUAGCUGUAGUUUUAUGUAUCCUGUUUAUUCUGGUGUAGUAGGAAAUAAGUGUUGCAAUUAUUUGCUUACAUACAGUUAGAAACUGUAUUUAUAAAUUUUUAUCAUUGUAUAUACGUAUGGUAAUAUUAUCCUCCAGUGUAGUAGAAAAAUUAUUAUUCCAUUUAAAAGGUAAUUAAGGAGGUAAAAUCAUUUCUUGUUCAUAGUUGCUCUCUCUAAGUAUUUCAGUUUUAUAUGUGACCAAUUUAGACGAAGUUUUCAAUCCAUUUAGCGUGGUUGCAAUUACAGAUAAUUUAAUUAGUUACAUGCAAUUGAAACCGUGUUUACAAAUUAAUUUUAUAAUUUUAUAUAUGUAUGGAGAGAUCAUACUCCAAUGUACGUAAUAAGAAAAAAAUAUUCAAUUGAAAAGGUGAUUAAUUAGGUAGGUAAAAUUUUCUUUUAUUUAAAAUUACUUUUUUCAAAUUGCUGCAAUUAAAACUGUUACUAAUUUGGGUAUAGGCUUGAUGGCUACCAUUAAAAUCUUUUCGUGUAGUUACAGUAAUACCAAUUGUAUUUAAGUGCAUCAAAUCAAAUAUUGUAUUUUAAUCUUUUCGUGUAGUUACAGUAAUACCAAUUGUAUUUAAGUGCAUAAAAUCAAAUAUUGUAUUUUAAUUUAUAUGAAACCGCAACUGCAACUGCAACUGCAUUGCACGCGAUCAAACGCUCCAGCUUAAAAUUGUACUACCACUAUAUAUCUGUCAGUUUAUAGAUACUGAUUAUUAAAUACAUUUUGAUUUUUUUUUAAAAUUCUUAUCUCUGUACUUUAUGGCAGUGUUUGGACGAUGACUUGUUGCCUUUUUAAAGCAGUGAGAAGCUUUUUUUUUUUUUUUUUUUUUUUUUUUUUUUUUUUUUUUGGCCUCGUAAUUAAAGUCAAUAGCUUUUUUUCAACAGCACUAGCUCUUUGUGGCUCUUUUGUUGAGACACCUUGGUGUCUAUUUGGUGGGUCUGAGAACUACUUUUGUAUGCAAUGCAAUGAGAAUGAGUUAGGUGUUAAGGAAGCCAAAUAAAAUAAAUACUUUUGAACUCUUAAAAAGUAAAGAGUAAAAGUGCUAAGUUGAAGCUUCUAUAAUGAAAGUGGAUUUACUUUACUGAGAAAAAAAAAAAGGGCCUAAAAGUAACUUUUAUGGGUGCCCACACACGCUUGCGUGCAGGUUUAUGUAGGGCUAUGCUAGAACCAUUUGAUUAGAUGCAAUUGUAAUUAUGGUAUAACUACAUAUGCAUGUGGUUGAAAAUAUAACAGUUGUAGUUACAUAUAUCUUAUUUGAUGGUUGCAGUUAUAAGUGUUGUAAUUAUAAAUAACUUAUUUGGUGAUAUAUAUACAAUUAAAAAUUGUACUCGUAAGUUUCAUUAGUUUAUAUAUAAGAGGUGAGACUACUCUCCAGUGUGCCACAUAGAACAACCUGACCCGGCGUAGGCCUGUUGACCUAACCCAUCGUAGGUCUGUUUUUGACGAAUGGUCAAUUAUGGUACAUAUUAAAUUUGUUUAAGUUUUAAUUUGAAUUCUGAUUUGUAGGUUCACGAUUUCUAAUAAACUCACAAAUCUGUUAUUAAUUAUCCCACACUCCCGAUGUUAAGAAACUCUUGAGGAAGAGGCCAAAUUUAAUAUUGAUAACAGAGAGAGAUCAAAAUAUAUAUAAUGAUGAACUUUUAUUGAUAUAAUUUUGAAGUACAUGGAUUAAAUAGGGGCAUUCCCCAACUGUGUAUGAGUGAAAUGGUCAAUUUAUGGACUCGGUGGUCGAAUUAAAGUUGAGUUUUUCAAUUGAAUGACAUGACAAUCGAUUGUGAUUGAUUUACUCCUUUUAACGAUUUGACAGUCAAUUGGAGUUGAAUUGCUCAGUUUAACAACAUAGCGAUCGAUUUAAAAUUGAAGUGCUCAUUUUAACAACAUGGUGGUCAGUUUGAAGUUGAAUUGUUUAGUUUAGUGAUAUGCUAGUCAGUUUGAAAUUGAGUUGCUCAAUUUCAUGAUAUGAUAGUCGGAUUGAAGUUGAGUUGCUCAAUUUAAUGAAAUGUCGGUCGAUUUGAAGUUGAGUUUGAUUUUGAACUUGGUUUGCUUAGUUUAAUAACUGGACGAUCGAAGUUGGUUUGAGUUUGAGCUUGAUUUACUCAGUUUAACAAUAUAGCAACAAAUUGGAUUGCAUUCGAACUUAAUUUGUUAAAAAGGUGAAUAGGUAGGUAAUCCUAUAUAUGUUAUUUAGAAUUACUUUUUCAAAUUAUUGCAUUUAUAACGGCCACUAAUUUAGGUAUAGUUUCAACUAUUAAAAUUAAACCUUCUCAUAGUUAAGAUACUAAAAUAAAUUUGCUUUUCAAUUUUGUUCUUUGUACUUUAUGGAAGUGUUUUGGAUGAGAGAUAUAGUAGAAAAUAUACCAACAAUAACAACGUAGUAGCAAAUUGGAUUACGUUUGAACUUAAUUUGUUCGAACUUAAUUUGUUAAAGAGGUGAAUAGUAGGUAAUUAAUCCUAUGUGUUAUUUAGAAUUACUUUUUCAAAUUGUUGCAUUUAGAACUGCCACUAAUUUAGGUCUAGUUUCAACUACUAAAAUUAAGCCUUCUCAUGCAGUUAAACAAAUCUUUCUUGCUUUUCAAUUUUGUUCUUUGUACUUUAUGGAAGUGUUUGGAUGAGAGAUAAGAGUUGGUACGGUAGAAGAAAUACCAAUUAGCUAGUUCCACUAAACACUCAUAGGAAAGAUUAAAUCCCUAUUUUGGGUAUGUAGUAGCAAUACUUUUUAGAUCAUAAAAUAUGCAUAAUCCCUAUAAAACGCAUUAGAGAUCGAUAUUGUAAUAAACCAAAAGCUAGCUAGCCAUUACAGAUCGAGAUAAAUAUAGAAUAGUAGCAAUACCUAUUGGACAUGGACCAUGUGAUUUAUUUAAGGCGAUCGAUCCUUGAGGGUGCAGUCGAUUGAACUAUUGGUGUUGUAUCUAGACACUUUUUUUUUUUUUUUUUUUUGCGAAUCUCUUUAACUUUUUAUUUUUUUUUAGAACUAAGAAAUUUUAUUCUAAAAUAUCCACACUUUAGGUAUCACAAGGAAGAAUCGUGAUUAAGAUAAUAGGCUGGAAGACCGGAAACAUUCCAUGCACUCUUUUGCCGAUCGUGAACGAGAAUGAAUCACAAGGAAGAAUCAACGUUUGUAUUCUGCUUUAGAAAAUAAAAAUAUCAUGACAAGAGGUAUGAUUUUAAUAUUAACAUGGUAUAACAAUACCAUUUAGAUUAUAAAAUAUGCAUAACCAACUUUAAUCCAAUGUGAUGCAUGGGACUGUAAUUAAUUUUAUUUAUAAAAAUACAAACUAAUUCUAAGAUUUAGAAUUUUAUUUUGAUACGCGUAAUCAAUAGAAUUAGAUAAACAAUUGCAGUUUAAUAUAUAUAUAGAUAUAUAGAGUGAGGCUACUAUGCUACCGUGCUUCCAGCUUGUUUUCGAUGUUGCGACUUUCAAAUCGUCGAUCGGCUCCGUUAAAUUUGAUCUAGAGUAUUUGAAGUACCUAGAAAAUAAAUUUUAUGAUUUUACGAUACCAUUUGCCUAAUGAACGAAGGGGCUCAAAAUCAACGGCUGAAAAUAAAGAUCUUACAAAAUAUAAUAAUAUGACAUUAAAAUUUUAAAUCAAAGAUAUUGAUCUUAUUUUAUAUAGUAUAAAGAAUUUUCUAUCAAAAUUUCACAUGAUUUGGAUAUUUCUACACUGUUAAACUUGCAAACGGCUCACUACGGCCAUUGAAAUUUGUUGAUUUUGAGCCCAUUCGAUCACUAGGCAAAUGAUAUCGAAAAAUAAUAAAAUUUAUUUUCUAGGUACUCCAAAUACUCUAGAUCAAGUUUAACGGAGCCAAUCGAAAAUAAUAAAAUUUAUUUUCUAGGUACUCCAAAUACUCUAAAUACUCUAGAUCAAGUUUAAUGUAUAUUCGUUUAAAUAAAAAAAUUAUUGAAUUGUUAGUAUUUUAAAUUAAUAUCAUAGAAAUAUUUUAAGAGGACUUCUCAAUGAAAUAUAUUUAAAUUAUUAUUAUAAAAUUUAAAAUAAAUAUGAUAAUUAAGUACAAAAUUUUAAAUAUAAGUUCAUAAAGAAAUUUAGCAUAAAAUUAGAAAAGAAGAUUUAGAGAAAUAUAGGCAUUUUAACAUAUAAUUUUAAAGUACUUGCACUAACAUUGAGUCAAAUCCAAAUUAAAUAAAAUAGAAUACAUUCUUAAAGAUAAAUUAUAUUUAUAAAGAGAUUGUCAUAUAUAUGAUAUUGAGAUGACUAACCGUUCCUUGAUAGCAAAUAUUUGAUUGUAGCAACGCCUAAGAUAUCUUGUGCAAAUCGUCCACGAUGCUUGCUCUGCGGAAAUUAAUAGAAUUUCUUUUGCAAAUAUAUUCUGAAAAAACUUUUCAUAUCUUCUCAGAUUCAGUAUCCAUCAUCAAAAUUUUGCACUUUAGGAGUUAUCAUUUAGAUUCUCUAACAUCUGAAGGCCGAACAAGAAUUACGGAGCUAUGGACUUUUCCAUAGAGAUUCAAAUAUUUCAGUUUUGGAUGGACUUCGAGAUUUUUAAAACAUGUUAUAGUCGCGGAUCGCUUGGCUAACUGGGGAUGCAAAAAGCUUUCUUUCUAGUCCUCUAUUAAUGAUUUUACUAAGUCUGUACUCUUGAUUAAUUAAAUAAAAUCACCUCAGGACGUUUUGCCAUAAAAAAAAUCAAUUAAAAUAAUUCUUAUCUGUAAUAGAGAUAAUAACUGCAUGCCUCACUUUUAAAUUAGUAAACAUCUAUAAUCUAUAAUUUAUAUCUGUAACAACUAUAUAUUAAUCUUCAAUCCCUUAUACACAUGGCAUAACCAUAUUGAUUUGGGAUCGUAAAUCCUUUUUAACAAAUAAAAGUUAUUACUUGCACCUAGUUUGCAACCUAAUCUAAUAUAUACACAGAAUAAUUUUUUUUUAAAAUUGGUAUUAUACAAUUAAAAUCUAAUUCAGUAAAUACAAUAAUACAUCGUAUAGAAAGUCUAUAUAAGAAGAUUUAUAGUGAUCUUUUAAGAAUUGUUGUGUAUAAAAUAUACUUAUACACAUGGUCUUUUUUUGCCCUAUUUUCUCAUCACAUCCCUCUAAACUAUGUGAAAUUAUUUAGUGCACCUAGUCUAUUAGUACACUUCAUGCACCAAAGACUUGAGAAUUGAUAGAUAUUGUAAAAUUAAAUCUAAUUCAAUCGAUGCAAUCUAAUUAAACUAUACAACAAGUUUUUGUAUUAAAUAUUAGAAAAUAUAAUAUAUUCUUAUAUGUCUGAUGCAUGGAACCAUUUCUUCUCUUUUCUCCACUUCUAAUUAUUUUAUUUAUUUAAUUGAAUUAAUUUUUUCUAAUGUUUUUUAUAUAUUCCUUUAUUAAUAAUUUAAUUUAAUUACUAAUAACUAUUAUAUUUCUCAUGCACUCUUUGUCUUUUCUAAGAUCAACUUUAUUUAAUUUUUUAAUUGUAUUAUUUUCUUUUUUAUUAUUAUCGUCUUAUAAAAUUAUCUAAUUACUAAUUAGAUCUACAAAACUUUUUUAUUUUAAAUUAUUUUAAAUAUUUAUACCUAUAUUAUUAGCCAUUUACUUGUAUAUAUCAUAAUUAAUUAGUUCUCUUAAAAAUUUAUAUCAAACAUAUACAGAUUUAAAUUUUUUAUUUAAAUUAAUUAAUUAUUAAUCCGCCUAAUAAAAUUCAUAUAAAAUAUAAAUAAAUAAUUAAAAUUUAUUAUUAACGUAUAUUAUAUCUGAGGUAUCGCGUGGGUUCUUAGCUUGUAUUAUUUUAUGUAGAGAUGCAACAGAAAACUAAGUAAAAAGUUAUGAUAUUGCUUCACAUAUUCCUCUUAUCAUUUUCUAAUCAAAAGUUAAUCUUACGUUGCUUCACAUAUUCCUCUAUAUUUUUAAUCAAAAUUAACUUUGUAUAUAUUGCAUUAUGUACGUGUAAAACACAUCAGUGAUAAUGUGACACACCAAUGCAUGUUUUCAUUAGAGAUAUAUAUAUAUAUAUUCUUAUCCAAGUGAUAGCAAAUUCUCUAUGAGGGGAUCGAUGUUAUUGUUUGGUUCAUAGUAUUUUUUUUAAGAUGUCUGAGAGUGAGGGUUCGAAAUUGUAAAUUUCAUGUUUGUAUAUUUUAUCAAGUGACAGGAAUGAAAACUUCCAUAGAAUCUUAUAAACCCUUUAAAUAGUUAUGAAUCCCCAUUUAAAAUAGUUAAGAUUUUUAUAAAACUAAAGUUAUGAAUCCCCAUAUAAAUAGUUAGUGAUUUUUAUAUAUUAAUUUGGUGUAAAGUAAUAUAAAUGGUCAUUUUAAUGAUCUAGUUGGAUAAUUUUAUGUUAAAUCAAACACAGGAAAUUAUAUGUUCCUAGGUAUUCUAAGAAAUGUACCAAAUAAAAUAUAUUCCCUAACAUUACUCUCUUCUAUAAUAUUCUGUUCGAUUCAAUCUUAUGCGUCAAACGUGACCCAGAAUUUGUUGGCUAAUCACUUAUGCGCCCAUUCUCAAUAACCAGAAAAAAAUAAUAAUAAUUAUAAUGAGAAGGAGAGAAAAAUUAUUGAUUUCAUUAAUGUGUUUCAAAAUCAAGGAGCAACAUUAUCGGAAAUGAUUGGAAAUGAUAAAAGGAGUAAAAAGCCCCCUCAUGCACCUUAUUGUAAAUUAGCAUAUAUAUACUAUUCCCUACUACUACUACUACACCGCAGAACAUCUAGAUCUCUCCGUCAUUCAUGCGAGGAUUCUUCAUCUCCCAUCCCUUCAACUGCGACAUUUCUAUGUCCUCUGCGCCGUUGUUGAACACGAACAAAUGCACGUUCGACCCUACUGCCAAACUCGGAUAAACUCUCGAUGUAAUGCAUGUUUUCCCGUUCUCUCCGAAGCUCUCCACCACAGAGUGAUCAAUCUUCAAGUAAAAUAACAGAUAUUCAGCAUGAGUAAAAGCUUAUGAUAUGAUAUUCCCUUUUGCUCUAGUUGUAAAUACAGUAAGAUGGAAUUUUAUGCCAAUAUCUGACAUACCAAAGUCCGCAGCGAUAUCUUGCUAUUUUUCGCGAUGUCGACGUCGACAAAUCCCGCAAAAGUUGGUUUGUACAAAUUUGAUUUAUAAGACGACCUGUUUAUUAAGAGAAAAGGCGAUGAUGAUUAAUCACUCGCAUGAACUAGAUCAUGCCGAGAAUUAUUGUUUACUCAAAAACUUUGUUUGGGAUAAAGUUGAAAUGCUACUGAAUCAAAAAGAGACUCAUCCUCAUCCAUAGCUUUUGGUCCAAACUUGGGCUCACAAAGUGUGAACUUUUUCCUUCUAGGUUUGCAUGUCAAACACAGGAUAUUAUACACAUACAAGGAGGGGGUGGGGCACAAAGGAAGAUUCCCACUUAGACUAACUUGUGCACAUCACCAUCACUAACAAGGUGACAUGUUUGAGACAUUGAUUUGAUAUUGUGGUACCAAUCCCCUCAUGGCCAUAUCUUACCUUGAGAUCCACUACUAUUCGACUUUUUGUAUACAAGACAAGAUAUUUAUUGUAGAUACCACCUUAUGAUCAUCAAAAUCACUGCAUAAACUAGUCAAUUAUAUAUAUAAUGUUUAAGAGAGAAUUGAUCAACUUAGCUAGGUACACAACGACGACUAAUCCCGAGAGUAAAUAAGAGUACAACUUUGGCGAUAAAAACUGUGUCAUUAGGAGGUUAAGAGAUAUAUAAUAGCAAUCUCCUAGAAUUUUGUGCUAAGUUUUGGUCAGAAUAAGAGAAAAAACAACAAAGGCAACUUGUCACAACUAGUAUACAAGACCAGUUGGCAGGUAAAGAGACAUCUAUAGCUUUUGUUUAUUGCAAGUACUUGGCUUAUGCAAAUCAGGAGUGAUUCAUCAUAAAGUACUCUCCACUUGAGAGUAGUUUAAAUGAUAGGACAAAGAUUAUAUGUUAUAAUUUAGGAACAAAUAGUUAUUGGUAACUUACUUUUCCAAGCAUAGAAAAAUAUAUACACAUAAAGAAAUUAUCAAUCAGAGCAGGUCAGGCCGUUUCAUGGUUCUGUCAACCUUCCCAACUCUUAUUUCAAUCUCCGCUGACUACUUAUUUGUAUUUGUUUGUAAGAACAUUUUGACCUUUUUUUCUUAUAAAAUAACUAUCUUACCUCAGUUUAAGUUCAACAGGAUUAUAUGCCAUCUACCGAUAUCAGUCUAGCCUUUUUCGAUGGUCGGAUAUUAAAGUACAGUAUGAGUGAAAGUUCAGCGACUAAGCUAUUUAAGUAAAAAAUAAGAUUAAGUUACCUUGUGGGAUCAUUGCACAUGAGGACAACAUGCUUGUCAUCACUCCUGAAAACCCUGAAGAAGACAGCAGUUCUCUCCUCCAGCUUGGAGGAGGCCAAGACAAAAAGACCAAAAGGCCCAACCCCACCCUUCACCUCUCCACCCUUGAUCCCACAUAGGCCCUGGGGAUUAGUACUCCAUGAUGGAUCAAAGGGCUCAGCUUUCUCCAGGCUUUUCACAUCAAAGAUCACCUCCACAUCAGCCUGUUGGAAAAUAAACACAAGCAACAUCACCAUCAUGAAUAGUGUCAAAAAGUCAUUUUUCAACUUCAAGUUAGAACAUUCAAAUGAAAAGGAAUUUAAAAAAAAAAAUCAUUAUUCAUGCGUUAUUUGACACAUUUAAUUUGUUGCAAAAAUUUAAUUGAUAAGUUGGUCAUUUGACAAAAUCAUUAUUCAUGUAUUAAAUUAAUUACAAAUUGAAAAAAAUGUUCUUAUUGAAAAAUCAUUAUCAUCACUUGGAUUUUUCUAUAUAAACUAGGAAGUAACAUUCAAACGAAAGAAAAUUAUUUAUACAUAGCAAAAGGUGACUUUGGGAGAGCUUGCUUCAAUGAGAACAAAAUAAAAAGAAAAAGAAAAGAAGAGAAAAGACAAUAAAGAAAGCUGUAAAGAAAAAGAAAAGAAGAGAAAAGACAAUAAAGAAAGCUGUAGAAUCUUAUAAGAAUUGCAUUCAAACUUUUGAAGUCAUGAAAUGCAUGCUUUGCCUAACACAACUUUUCCACCAAAAGUCAUGAAAUGCACAACAACCAAUUAGAAAGUCUUUUUCCUAAUUUUAAAGCAAUAACUUACAAAAAUACAUUUAGGUACACACACUUUUUGAAUAGAAAAUUUUAUAUUAUAUGUAUAUCUCUCUCUCAAAAUAUAGGAAUUUGUUCUGUAAUCCAUUCACAACUUACAAUUUUCCUCUAUAGCGUCAAAAAUUAUCCAUAUACGCAUAUGAAAACAGUUUCUAAUUAUCUGUAUAUCCCUCCUUUUAAGAGCUUUUCACAAUAAAAAAGUGGUUUUUCGACGUAAAAAGAAGCCUAUUAACCGAACUUUUGUGAUACCAAAAAAUCGACCCCAAAAUUCAUAUUUUUAGUGGGGCAAAAAAAAAAAAACUCUUAAAUGAAAAAGAUUAUACAUAAAUAUGCAGUAAAAGUAAUUAAACCGACAAGAAAUUUAGUAAACCAAAAAGUGGAAAUUAAGAUAAACCUGCGCAGUUUGAAUUCCUUUAACUUCAAAAAACUUUCCACUCUUAACAAUUUUGUGCUUGAUUUGAAUUUGCUUUCCCCUCAGAGUUUCAAUCUCCUCCACUGGCCACUGCACCAAUUGCUUUCCUUCUUUAUCCAGCCAUACAGCCCUAGGAAUAACCUACAAGAUAAAGUAAAGCAAUUAGAAAAAUAAAAAUUGCAACAAUUAAGUAAUCAUUUACCAAAAAAAAAAAAAGGUUUUUGUAAGUUGAGAUUACAAUAGCAGCCUCUUUAAUUGGCCUGCUAUUUCAAUUAACUUGAAGCAGUAGAUAGGCGCGUUUGGUAAAUUAAGCUGUAUCGCAGGAGGAGGAUGUUGAAAAGUUUUAAGUGAUAAAAUUGUUAAUGUUUCAUUUACUACUACUAAUUGUAAAAGGAAAGGCAGAAGCUAAGCCAAAUAGGCACUUGAGGCCGACCUGAAUGCCGGCCCAACCCUUGGAAUUAUCAUCUGUCACGGAGUCCGACUCAUUCGCCCACCCCCACAAGAUCCUUCUCUUUCCUGCGGCAUCGUAAAACGUCUUCGACGCAUAAAAGUUCCCGUAAUCGUAUCUCAAACCGGUAUUACCAUCAGGUGAUGCACCAUCCGGCACAUACUGAUCUUUUUCCUGGUCGUACGUACCAACCGUAUAGUACUCGUAUCUCGUCAAGUCCAAGCUCACCUUGAACACAUGCUUCACCCCUUCCCCGUACUCGGACGUAUCGAGCCCUUGCUUGCCGUCGAUGGACACCGGGUAAAAAUCGGGGCACUCCCACAUGCCAGUCCCGCCCGCCGUAUGCAACGCGUGCUUCGCCUUCACCCACCGCUUAAAAUCCCGGCUCCUGUACAAGAUCGCCUCCCCUCGCAUCCCCCGCUUGCUCCCGAUCACCAACCGCCAACGCCCGUCCCUACCGUACCUGACGGAUAUAAAUUAUUAAAACUAUUGUCCGUUGACAAGUUAAGUUAUCGGAGAACAAUGAUUGUUUCACAUAGUACGAGGUCCUACGUUAGAGCCUAGACCUUGAAGAGAGUGUUGAAUAUAAUUAUUACGAAAGACACUAUUUUUCAACAGCAGAAGUUUUUAAGAAAUAAUAGUACGUAAUACCAUGCUGUUGUAGGGUCACGAAAUGAGCUAGCAUUAAUGCCGCCAACUGGCUGGAUCAAUGGGUUGUAUUUGGGCUUGACCCAUUUGCGGAGGUACGGGUCCGACAGGUUCUUCGGGAAUGCGAUGUUUUGGACCUGACGGCUGAGGGUGUCGACGCCAGUGUACAAAAUGACCGGACGGUUGCCAGGGAGGAUGGUGGCGGAGCCAGACCAGCAACCAUUGAUAUCGAACGGUUCAGUCGGGUGGAUAGCCGGUUCGACGGCUAGCCAAUUGAUCAGAUCGGUCGAGACUGAGUGGGCCCACACAAUAUUGCCCCAGACGGCACCUUUAGGAUUGUACUGGUAGAAGAGGUGGUAGACUCCAUUGUAGUACAUUGGUCCUGGUCAAGUUCACAUCGAUUCAGAUUCAGAAUUUUCUUUUUCUUAUUUUUUUAUAAAUUUGACCAGAGACUUAAUUGCAGAAGUUAGAAAGGUCUCAACUCAGCUCGUACAAAAACAACUUGCGUAAAAUGACAGAGACUCGACACAAUAUAUAUAUAUAUUAUAUAUAGGAGAGAUGUAGCAUAUAAAAAUUUAUUGAGUAAAGUACAAAUAAAGAACAUACCAUUUGGAUCUGCUUGUCAUGCAUGUAUAUAUGGUCCAGUGAAGCACAUCCACAUAUAAAACACAGAAGGGACAAACCAUGAGUUAGAAUAGUUCUUUUAUAUAAAUAUAUAUAUAUAGGAAAUAGAAUGGUAUAAAUCAAUAAUAAAACAACAAAUUUAAUGAAAAUGACAACAUGGUUCUAUGGUCAAGUUGAAUUUUAUUUUAUUUUAUUUAAUUGUGGAAUCAUUAAUUGGACAAAUUGUUGCUCCCAAAACUUUGUCCAUUGGCUCAUCAUCAUAUAUAGAUCUUAAAACUGUACCACAAAAAUUGCUUUAAAUGGUGGUGCAUUUAUUUAUUAAUUUGUGCCUCAGAUUUUCACUAAACUUAGAAGCUUAUUAUUUAUAAAAUGACGAAAAAUCCUGCAGUUUUGCAUUCAGAAUUGAAUUGGACUGGAUUAAUUGGAUAAAAUAAAAAUAAAGCUUUGAUAAUCACUUAGUGUUCUUUAGAUAUUCAGAGAUGCCAAUAGAGAGGACGAACAGUGUCCCGAGUCUAAUUCUGCACACGCGCCAAAUACAGAAUGUUUUUUUUUUAAUUUUUGGGAAAAUAUUCAAAAUGGAAAUAAUAUUAGUCAUUGAAAAUUAAAAAUUAUAUUUAAAAAAUAUGGAAAUUUAUAAUAAUAAUAAAUUAGGGGCCAUGGAGGGAGUACGUAGUUAAAUCCUUGUAUAUAUAUCUCCAAGUAAAAAAAAAAAAAAUGGAAAAUAAAAAUUCAAGGGUGGAAUGGUAAUUUUACUCAAAUGUAAUCCAACCCACUCUUAAUUUAGUUUAAUUUAAUUUAAUUUAUUCCUGAAAAUAUUUAAUAUAUUAUGGGGGACACAGUUGGGUACAUAUUGUGGUCCGCGUAAACUUGCUCGCGGGGCCCGCCGAAAACGGCGAAAUCAGUUAACGACCGCGGAGCACGUUAGCUAAACGCCGUGCUUAUCGGCUAACAUGCGCCCAUAUCCAACCUGGCACGUAGAUUCCAUAAUUAAUAAAUUUAAUUAAUUAAUUAAUUAAUUGGUAUGCUAUAAUUAUUAUAAAAUUAUUAUGGGAAUUAUUUUCCCCUUGUAUCACAUGAUUCAGAUUUAUUACUACAAUCUAAUCCCCACGAGGCAAUUUAAAUCUUAUUUCAAACAAAAUAUAAUAUAAUAAUAAAUAGUCAAACUCUGUGAGAAUGUAUGAUUAGUACCUAGACCAUCCUGAUAUUGCGAUUUGGUCCUUACCCAUUUAUUUAAGUAUUUAACUUUUCAAUGUUUCACGUGUAUCUACUGCAAAAAAAAAUUCCAAUAUUGUUGUAAAACAUACCAUAUAUAUAUAUAUUAUAUAUUGAUAUAUAUAUAUAUAUAUAUAUAUAUAUAUAUAUAAUAUAUAUAUAUAUAUUAUUAAUACGCGUGUAAAAAUUCAAAAGUCGAAGCUUUGAAGUUUCACGCAAAAUAUUAUAGUAUGAAUACGAAAGAAAACCAAAUAUGAAUAAAUGGAGUGGGUAAGUAAAUUAAUAAGAGAAAGGAUAAGAAGAAAAAAAAAAAAAAAGAAGAGAAAAAAACUGUACCAUUGAUCCAAUGCUUGGGUUGAAAAUGGUAACCCAGUUUCACUUGGGAUCGUAGUUCGACGACUCGAGAGAUUGGAGAUGCUCGUACACCGCAUGCGACGCUUCCGCGACACCGACCCACCGCGAAAGCACCGCCACCGCCACCGCCACCGCCACCAUCACCACCCAAGUCCCCGCAAUCUUGCGCGAAGCCCCCAUACUUUUCCUCUAAUUCACACAGUGAGAAUAAUAAGAUAGAUAGAGAGAGGAGUGUAGAAGAAUAGAGACUCUGAGGGGGUAUUUAUAGAGAGGAGGGGUUUGGUGUUGUAUUGUGGGGGAGUUAUUAAUUGUUGUGUGUGUUGGGGGAGUUAUUGGAGUCGAGUGUGGGAUGAGUUGGAUCAAUAAAUUUUUUCUUUUUAACUUAUCCAUGGAUAUCCACGGAUUCUAUAGCUUGGAUGUUAUGUUAUCUACUUUUUGAUUUAGGGUAAACUUUAAAUACCAUCUCUAUAGUUUCGCACUUUCUCAGUUUUGUAUUCUAUGAUUUAAAGUAUAUCAAUUUAGUAUCCGUGAUUUUAUUUUUUUAUCUUUUCGUCAGCUCUUCUAUUAACAUUUCGUUAAAUUAUUAUAUACAAAAAUCUUCAAAUACCCUCCCUAAGUUUGUCGGAUAUUUGCUUUAAUUAGUAUCUUUUAGUUUUAACUUUGUUGAUGAUUUAACGAAAAAAAAUAGUGGAGUAGAGCGGAUAAUAAAAAGAGAAAAAUAAAAUUACCGGGCACUAAAUUGAUACACUUUAAACUGCAUGGUACUCAAAUAAAAAAAGUGCGAAAUCACGUCGAUGAUAUUUAUUUAUAUAUUCACCCAUUUAUUUACUUUAAAUUAUCUAAUAUUUAUGUUGAAAAUUUUUUAAAAAAAUUUUAUUUGUGUAAAAAGAAUCAUUAUGGAUGUGGUUAAUCUCAAACGAAGUAAUAAAAAUAUAUAUGAAAAUUUUUUAAGUAUGGAAUAUGGAUACAUGCAUGAUUCAAAAUCUUUAUUCACUUUAUAUAAAAUAUAUAUAUUAUAAAUUUAUGAAAAGAAAAAAAAUAAAUUAACCACGUACGCAACAAGAACCAAAUCUUUUUCAUUAAUAAGUUGAAUGAUGAUUUUGCCAAAUUAAUUAAGAAGAUAACAUAUUUUUCUUUUUCUUUUUCUUUUUUCGCAUAAUGGUACAUGUGUAAGGCUCCCUAUUUAACGAAAUUUAAAAAUAUCCUCUUGUGGAACCUCAUUUAUAGCGAAACGUUAUCUUCUUCGGGCGACUUUUAUGUGUGUAGGUUUAGACUUUGUCUCGUGCGUAGUAUUUAAUACGCUGUAUAAAUUUUUUUAAAAAAUAAUCUCCCAAUAAUAUAUGCAUCUCCUUUUGUUUAGUUUCUAUAUGAGUUGUGCAAUUACACUGGCCACUUUAAUAUUUAAGACGAUUAUUUAAUGCACUCAAACUAUUUAAAUUUCACUAUUCAUGUGUGUAUGUAGCUAUCAAGAUUAUAAAAAUUUAAAAUUUGACACUAGAACUGUCACUACAACAAUUUAUUGCACUGUAUUAAUUUAAUUGCAUAAAAAAUUAAAUUAUUACAAAUUGUAUAUUAUAGCAAUUAUUAUUGCAACUAAUAGUAUAGUUAUCAACUACAUUAGUAUUUGUUGUCGAUAAAGAACAAUUUUGUAGUUACCGACCGUCCCUAGAGCAAGUGCCAAAGGGUUUGGUGGUUGGUACACCCGAGGUCUUAAGCUCGAAUCAUAGUUGAUUCACAUUUUCAGCUAAAUUUAUUUCUAAAUAAANUACAGUUAUUAUAUUUAGAUGACUAAUUAUGAAAAGUAAAAGUUUGAAUGGCAAAUAUAAUAUUUCUAAAAUUUUAAUGGCUAUGUAUAAAAGGAUAAAAGUUUGUGAUAAUUCUACUACAUUUAACCUUAUUUUAGAACACCACAAACAAAUUAAAAAUUACACGUUUUCCCAUUUCCAAUUUUCGUGCUGUCUAAAAAUGAAAGAAAGUGAUAGCUACUGCCAGCGAUGGCAGUCUUGACCCUAGUUAGUAAAUUCGCGAAUAAUACGCGAAUUAUUCGUGAAUUUUUGAAUAGCCAAAUUAAACAGUAGUAAACGUAUUUUUCCCAAAAGUGUGAAAAAAAACACAUUUUUUUCUCCAAAAAUAAUUAUCCGCGAAUUAUUCGCGAUUUGCGAAUAAUUCUCCCAAAAAAUCGGCCCGCGAGUCGGUGACGCUCGUUGUCGUCGUCCUCCUCCGCCGCCGCCCUGGCCGGCGCCGGGAGCAAGAGGGCCGCGGCUACGAUUCCCGCCUCGCCCGGCGCCGUUCGUUUUCGCCCAAAAAAAGGGCCCGCGAGUCAGCGACGCUCGUCGUCGUCCUCCUCCGCCGCCGCCCUGGCCGGCGCCGUGAGCAAGAGGGCCGCGGCUACGGUCCCCAUAAUCCCAUCUUGCCCGACGCCGUCUGCGACUCGGCGUGCCGUCCGCGGAAAAAAAAUAUCAACAGUAAAAAAUCGCGGGGUUGCGCGCGGCUCCGCAGGCAAAGUGAUGCGUGGUCCACGAGGCCACCACGUCGGCUGUGCCGGAUUGACCCUCUCAUUUUAUAUAUUAUAUAUAUAUAUAUAAUAUAUAUAUAUAUAUAUAUAUAUAUAUAUAUAUAUAUAUAUAAUUUUAUUUAUUAAUAUUUUAAAUGAUAUUAUUAAUAUAUAUUUAUUAUAAUUUUAAAUAUAUUUAAUUUAUAUAUAUAAAAUAUAAUAAUAAUAUAUAUAGUAUAUUAUUAUUAUAUAUUUAUUAUAUAGCUGAGAUUUUUGAUUCGAAUUUUUAAAUGAUAACGUUAAUACCGUUAAAUCACGUAUCCGAAUAAUUACGAAUCCGUUUUUUAACCAUAUUUUUCAAUGAAUUUUAAAUUAGGAAGACGAAUUUUAUCCGAAUUAUACUCGUACCGAAUUUUUGCCGAAUCCGAAUUAAUUAACUAUGGUCUUGACAUAUUCUAAAAAUGCGUGCUGUUGCGCAGAAUCGAAUUGGCCAAUGGGGGCUUACUAGCAAAAUAUCUCUUUGUCCUCGUUGUAGAUAAUUACCAAGUUGUACGUCCCGAUGAUAAUAUAAAUUUGCAUAAGAGCCGUGUUUUCCCUAAAAAAAAAAAAAAAAAAAAAAAAAACACUAUGGUCUUGACCACUAUUUCAGAAUAUCUGAAAGAGCAAGAUUUAAAGUAUUACUAAAUUUUUUUGCACCCACUAAUUUAGGAUCGUUUUAUUGAAUAUAAUUAUAAGCAUAGAAUUAAGUUUCUAUACUUUUAAAAGCACUGAGUAAUUGGUAUUUGUAACUUUUCACUAUUUGAAUGAAGAUUUGUAAGAGUAAAAUAUAAUAGUGAAAAAUUUACAAAUAUCAACUGUUUUCUGUUUUUAAGAACAUCAUAGCUGGACUCAUAAAUAUAAUAUAAUUAAAGUUAUAUGUAUGCAGAUGAAAAUAUAAUAGUUUUAAGUAUUGUGCCCACUUGGUUUGAUUUUUUGCAAUUCAUCCUUUUUGGUAACUUGAAGGUAUCUUUAUUUUUAUUUUCUUAUAUUGGAUGAUUUAAUUCUGUACGUAUUAGCUAUUGUAGUUGAGAUUCUAGUCAAUUUGGUUGUAGUUACAACUCACGAGGUGGACCUUGUAUAGUUCCAACUUUAGUAAUUACACUAAAAUGUUUUUUUUUUUUUUUUUGAGAGAUAGGUAGCAUGCUACCCGCUUCGUUUAUUUCAUAAUGCAAUAUUAUGUACGAAAACAAACAUGAUAUUUUUCUAUUAUGUUUUCUCACCGUAUAUAACACAAUUUUUCCGCAGUCUCAAACGAAAGUUUAAAGUUUGUGGAAUUAUUAAGUUUGUUAGUUAUUAAUUGUAAAAAUUAUAAAAUAUAAUACACCAAAUUACUAAAUGUCAAAUAUUAUUUAGGGAAAACUUCAAAAACCCUCCCUGUGGUUUCGUGCAUUCUCACUUUGCUAUCCUGUGGUUUAAAACGUAUCAAUUUACCCCCCUGUGGUUUCAUUUUUAUCUUUUCGGAAGCUUUUUCGUUAAUAUUUCGUUAAAUUAUAUACAAAAAACUUCAGAUAACCAUCUAUAUUUAUCGAAUAGUCACUUUAGUAUCCUUUAAUUUUAACUUUGUCACUGAUUUUAAAAAAAAAUAAUAAUAAAAUUGAUAACAAAAAGAUAAAAAUGAAACCACAGGGGGGCAAAUUGAUACGUUUUAAACCACAGGGUAGCAAAGUGAGAAUGCACGAAACCACAGGGGGGGUUUUUGAAGUUUUCCCUAUUAUUUAACAGAAUUGUUCUAUCUCCAAACUUCACCUUCACCGAGCGUAGGUUUAUUUCAAUUGUUGAUUUGAGUAUUGAGCGAAAGGUUACACGAUAGAAGGAAUUGUUCUAUCUCCAAACUUCACCUUCACCGAGCGUAGGUUUAUUUCAAUUGUUGAUUUGAGUAUUGAGCGAAAGGUUACACGAUAGAAGGAAUUGUUCUAUCUCCAAACUUCACCUUCUCCAAGUGUAAAUUAAUUUCUAGAAUUUUCAUGAAAAAGAAAGAAAAAGGAUCACAAUUUUUUUUAAAUUAGGAAUUUCAUAUCUAAAUAUUUUGUUGUAAUUAAAUAGAAAUUGGGGGAAGAAAACUUCGAAUCCAAUUAGCCUUGUCGUCGAUGUUAGUAUAUUAAUUUGCAGAUUGCAGACACCCAAACCUUCGAUGUUAGUAUAUUAAUUUGCAGAUUGCAGAUUGCAGAUUGUCGUCGAUGUUAGUAUAUUAAUUUGCAGAUUGUCGCAGAUUGUAGAUUGCAGAUUGCAGAUUGCAGAUUGUCGUCGAUGUUAGUAUAUUAAUUUGCAGAUUGUCGCAGAUUGUAGAUUGCAGAUUGCAGAUUGCAUAUUAAUUUGCAGAUUGCAGAUUGCAGAUUGUCGCAAAUAGCAGAUUGCAGAUUGCAGAUUGUAGAUUGCAGAUUGUCGUCGAUGUUAGUAUAUUAAUUUGCAGAUUGCAGAUUGUAGAUUGCGGACACCCAAACCAUCGAAUCCAAUUAGUUCAUCACUUGCAGAUUGCGGACACCCAAACCUCCGCAUCUUUUGGGGCGGCACACCUGCCCCCAAUUGACAAGACAGUGGAAUCCAUUUCGAAGUUUUCUUUCCCUCCAAAAAAAAUGUCGUACUCAGUACCUCUGAUGCAUUUCAUACUUCUACUUAUUUUUCCAUUGGCAAUGGGAACAUUACGUCGUUCUGGAAUGCUAGAUGGUCUGGAGAGCUCACCCUCCGAAAACAAUUCCCAAAUCUUUACGCCUUAUCGACUCACAAGCAACUAUCAAUCAAAAAUUGGAUUCGACGGCUUGCACACAAUACCGGUCUGGACCUCCACCCUAUACUGUGCUUAGGAGAGCAACAACAACGAGAGCUUGGGCCGUUCAAUGCCUUGGUUCACAAUACCGCGCUUAUAGAUUGCGACGACAAGGCUAUUUGGCGCUGGUGUGAGGAUGGAAAGUUUUCUGUGCGGAAAGCUUAUGACUUCCUAAUUUUUGAUGGAAUUGAUGUAUGCACUACCCCUUAUCUCUGGAAACUAAAAAUCCCCUUAAGAGUUAAAGUUUUCUUGUGGCUUGCUCGCCGCAACAAAAUCUUGACAGCCGACAAUUUAUCUAAGAGGGGCUGGCAAGGCCCCUCAAUAUGUGUUUUUUGCUAUGCUGACGACGAAAAUCUUGAGCACAUCCUCUUCUCCUGCAAUUAUGCGACGAUGGUGUGGAACUAUCUCCUAAAAGAUAUUCCAAAUACUCACAAAUUGGUGACUGAUCUCCCAGGUAGCUUACCAACCAGGUGGAAUCGAGCAAGACAGUCAUUGAAGGGACUUUUAAAAAGAAACUUUGAUAUCUGUUUGGCAGCGACGUGUUGGGAAUUAUGGAAUCAGAGAAACUGGCGAAUCUUCAACGGCCGCCUCCUCCGCUGUGAGGAGACUGGAAACAGGGUCAUUAAUACGGUAAAGCUUUGGUUAUCUGUGGUGGGAAGCUAGUAGGAGUUGAUUACAUUAGCUAUCUUCAUUUUUGUUUAAUUUCUUUCUUUCCUAUUAUGUUGCUCUUAGUCUCUGUUUUCUUGGACUUUAACUACUGACCCUUGACAGUGGUCCUUUUAUAUUGUUCUCACAAAUAGGAUACAUCCCUGUUUCGUCAAAAAAAAAAAAAAAAAAAAAGAAGAAGAAAUUUUUUGUUAAAUCUAUCCAUCUCAGUUAGAAAAAAAAAUUCUUUACUUUUCUUUUGGACAAUGAACUUAACAUACUUUUCUUCAUCUUAAACCACACAUAUUUUCUUCUAGCUCAUGGCAUUGUUGGUCUAAUUCUUCUUCUGCUGAUCGAUUCAACCUCCGAUCAAAGAUCUCGCGUAAAAUAAAAUUUAGUUCCUCGUAAGGAAUACAAUAUUUCCGGGUCAAAGAGAAGUAUCCAAAAAAAAACAUGCAUGUCUUAUUUUCUUCAAUACUCCAUAUUAAUUUAUAGCACGUUACCCAAAAACGAAUUACUAAAUAUAUUUUGUCAAACACGAUUUUUCUGGUCAAAACGUAUCACGAGUUAAUUAUUAUUUUCUCUGGUUAACAGUACUUAUCGGCUUAGGUUCUUCAAUUUUCUUAAUUAUUCCCUUUCUAUAUACUUUAUAAUAAUUUGAGAAAUUAUUAUUUUAUUAAAUAUUAGUAGGUACUAGGUAUUAUAGAUUUCGCGAAGUCAAAAACAGUAUGCUUGUCCCCCUCCCAAGUCCCAAUCACAGCAGUAGAACUACAUUUCCUCCAUCUUUGGAAUUCUUGUAUGUGUAGGAAUUUUAAGAAUUUUUGUGUUUAAUAAGAGUUUAAUUUGCUGCUCAAACCAUGCAUUUCCAAAGAGAAUUAAUUGACAUAAUUAGUAGUUAAAGAGAACCUGAUUUUGCUAUUUUAUAUAACAAAGCAAAUUAAAUCUUUCACACGAUACAGUGAAUCUACUAUCUGAAUACCAAAAUUAGUUGUAUUAAAAUAUUAGAGCAACGCUAUAUAUAUAUAUAUCUGUACACUCCACAAUAUAUAUAUAUAUAGGUGUAAAUUUUAUAUUGCCUUGUUAAUUUCUUUUAAAUAUUAAAAAUUCAAAAGGAUUAUAAAUUCUACAACCUGAGUAUGUAAAAUUUACACUCCUUUUUGGAAUAAUAUAGCGUGUUUGGUUCGAAGUCGGAAUCGGAAUCAAAAUAAGCUGGAAUCGGAAUCGGAAUGACUCAUUACCUAAUUCUGUUUGGUUCAUCACCUGAAUCGGAAUCGGAAUAAAUCAUUCCCAUUGUCGGUGUUUGGUUCGGGUGGAUAUAAAAAAUGUAAUCAAAUUAAUAUACUAACAUUAUCUUUAUAAUAUACUAAUUUAAAUUCAAAUUUAAAAUUAAAUAUUAAAAAUUUACAUCAAAAUUUUGAAAUAAUGUCAAAAUUUUAAAUCUAUUUUUUUUAAAAAAAAAUUAAACUUUGAAGUUGAGUGGAUAAUUCAAAAUAUGAAACUAAAUUUUGAUUUAUUCAAAUUCAAAUUUAAAAUUACAAUUUAAAUUUUAAUUUGAAUCCAUUAAUUUAAUUUAAGUUUGAAAUAAAAUUUGAAUAACAUUUCAUAUAAAUUAAAAUUUAAUUUAAAUUCAAAUUCACAAGUUAGAUUCGAAAUACUUGAUUAAAUUUUAAUUUUUAAUUUAAGUUUAAAUUAAAAUUUAAAAUUAUAUAUUUAUUUUUAAAAUUUUAACUCAUAUUUUAAUUAAAAAAGUUGAAAAAAUAAAUUUAAUCCGAAUAAAUAUCUAUUCCGUCCGGAUUCAACUUUCAAUCCGACCUCCUAGGCCGGAUUGAAAAAAGAGGUGAUUGGGGGAUUCCCAUUCCACUCGGAAAUCAGAAUCGGAAUGAAACUUUUGCGUACCAAACACCCUCAAACGGAUUUAUCCAUUCCGAUUCCGAUUCCGAUUCCGAUUUCAGAAUGAAAAAGAAGCGAACCAAACACGCCCUUAAUUUACAUUAAUCAUGAUUUAUUAUUAUUACAGAAUAUGUAAUUUUAUAUAUUUUGUUAUUAUUAUUGUGCCACGUGAUACAAUAUGAUGUACUGAUCUGAUCAACCUUAUUAUUUUUAUUUAUACAAUGUGUAUUAAAUAUGUUUGGUACAUUAAAUUAGAUUUUUAAUUCUUCCUUAUAAACUUGUGUAUUGUGCACUGAAUUGUAUGUUUAUUUAUGAGCAAGAGCAAGUUGGAAAUAUAUAUAAAUAUUUGGGAAUUGUCGAUGGAGCUUUCAAUGUGAACAUCAAUUACAUAUGGCCAGUAAACAAAAAAACAGAAACUCUUGAGCAAUUUUAUAUUAAUAAAUUCAUUAAAAAAUUGCAAUAAUUUGAAGACCAAUUUGGUGUCACCAAAACAGAGAAAAAGGAAUUAAGGGGUUCAUGGUGCUUUUAAUUUUCUUCCUUCCAAAAGUAUAUAAUAUCCGAUAAAUGAGAGAUAUGAUCAAUCAUAUAUGAUAAUAAUAAAAAUAAAUUAUCUUGCAGUUGAAAUAUACUAUUAAAUAAAAUGAGAUAUGAUUCUAUGAUUAGUUGCUCAAUUUUAACUUCAAAUAUUGAGAGUUUGAGCAUUUUAGUGAUCGUUUGAUCAAAUGUUUGAUAGUUUGAUUGAUCGAUUUAAUUGGUUUAAACUGAAUAAUUUUUAUUUGAAAUUUAUUUCUGUAUGUGGAAGUUAAAUAUGUUUGUAUGAUUAGCUGUUUUUUUUUUUAACUUCAAAAUUAAGUUGAGAGUUUGAAUCAUUUUUAUUUGAAUGUCAUUUAUUACUUGAUGCUGAUUAUUUUUUAUUUUGUUUUAUGACAACACUUUUCCAAUCUAAAUCGAAUCAGCAGUUAAAAUAAUUUUUAAUUGCUGCUGUUUGAUUUGUUAAUCUUAUUUGAAUUUUUCAAAAUUAUAUAUAUAUUAUUAAUGGCACUGCAUAAAUUGCUGCACAUAAUUAUAAACUAUUCAUGGAAACCGAGUCAAUCAAAUUUAUAAGUAAAAUAAAAAAAUAAAAAAUAAGAAAAUCAGAUGAGUGUCAAUGUAUCAAAGAGAUUCCACCUUUUGUGAGUCAAAGUCAAAGAUGCCCUACGUUUUUGCGAAUUGGAUAUAUACACAUUGGGAUCUGAGCACUAUAAUAAUAUAUAUACAUUUAAUCUCUUUUCAAAAGAAUAAUUAAAAUAUAUUCGAAUUUAUAGACCAAAUUUUCUAAUUAAUAGAAGCAAACAGGUAAAACAAAAAUAAAAAAAAUAAAAAUAAAAAGUAUUGUUUUUUUUUUUUUCUUCUAACUAAAUAUGAUAUGUGAAAAACUAUAUUUAAUUUUUUUGUUCAAUCAAACAGUAGAAGUUUAAAAAAAUUUAAGAAAAAAAUAUUUUUAAGAAAUCAAACAAGCCCUUAAGUAGAAAAAUUUACACUCCUAAAGAGACAAAUUAAAAUAAAAGUUUUUAAAUCUCAACAUUAAAUAGAUAUUUAAAUUUAAGAUAUUUUUCUGAAGGACCAAAUUGCAAUUUCUUUUAAAAUCAAGUUACUUACAACAGGUGCAGUCAUCAGCUGCUCGGAGAAAACUACGUUUCCCUUUAAAUAAAAUUGAACAAAAAUUUCUUAUUUUAAUGUAUGGUGCACAAUUUCUAUGAUAAAUAAAUAAAUAAAACAAAUAAAACAGUUUGGUGUACAAUUUAAAUAAAUAAAUAAAACAAAUAUUCAAUGAUAUAGAUUGAAAUAUGAUAGGAGACUUAUGUAGUGCACAGUUUUUCUAUCGUUAUGCAGAGGAGUCAAAGUAUCCCUCUCCUUGCCAUUGUCAUCUUGGCGUGCAAUUUCUGCAUCCUAUUUUUCCACGCUUUGAGUUUUCGUUUUCCGCAUAUUUUCGGACAGAAAACGAAAAACACUAAUUUCAUUUUACAGCAAAUAUAUAUAUAUAUAUAUAUAUAUAUAUAUAUAUAGAGAGAGAGAGAGAGAGAGAGAGAGAGAGAGAGNNNNNNNNNNNNNNNNNNNNNNNNNNNNNNNNNNNNNNNNNNNNNNNNNNNNNNNNNNNNNNNNNNNNNNNNNNNNNNNNNNNNNNNNNNNNNNNNNNNNNNNNNNNNNNNNNNNNNNNNNNNNNNNNNNNNNNNNNNNNNNNNNNNNNNNNNNNNNNNNNNNNNNNNNNNNNNNNNNNNNNNNNNNNNNNNNNNNNNNNNNNNNNNNNNNNNNNNNNNNNNNNNNNNNNNNNNNNNNNNNNNNNNNNNNNNNNNNNNNNNNNNNNNNNNNNNNNNNNNNNNNNNNNNNNNNNNNNNNNNNNNNNNNNNNNNNNNNNNNNNNNNNNNNNNNNNNNNNNNNNNNNNNNNNNNNNNNNNNNNNNNNNNNNNNNNNNNNNNNNNNNNNNNNNNNNNNNNNNNNNNNNNNNNNNNNNNNNNNNNNNNNNNNNNNNNNNNNNNNNNNNNNNNNNNNNNNNNNNNNNNNNNNNNNNNNNNNNNNNNNNNNNNNNNNNNNNNNNNNNNNNNNNNNNNNNNNNNNNNNNNNNNNNNNNNNNNNNNNNNNNNNNNNNNNNNNNNNNNNNNNNNNNNNNNNNNNNNNNNNNNNNNNNNNNNNNNNNNNNNNNNNNNNNNNNNNNNNNNNNNNNNNNNNNNNNNNNNNNNNNNNNNNNNNNNNNNNNNNNNNNNNNNNNNNNNNNNNNNNNNNNNNNNNNNNNNNNNNNNNNNNNNNNNNNNNNNNNNNNNNNNNNNNNNNNNNNNNNNNNNNNNNNNNNNNNNNNNNNNNNNNNNNNNNNNNNNNNNNNNNNNNNNNNNNNNNNNNNNNNNNNNNNNNNNNNNNNNNNNNNNNNNNNNNNNNNNNNNNNNNNNNNNNNNNNNNNNNNNNNNNNNNNNNNNNNNNNNNNNNNNNNNNNNNNNNNNNNNNNNNNNNNNNNNNNNNNNNNNNNNNNNNNNNNNNNNNNNNNNNNNNNNNNNNNNNNNNNNNNNNNNNNNNNNNNNNNNNNNNNNNNNNNNNNNNNNNNNNNNNNNNNNNNNNNNNNNNNNNNNNNNNNNNNNNNNNNNNNNNNNNNNNNNNNNNNNNNNNNNNNNNNNNNNNNNNNNNACGGGUAGAAAUGAUUAAAGAAAUAGAUCUAACGGUAAAAAACUUAUGAGUACAAAAGAGACUAUAUACUGAUAAGAGUAUAAUAACCGGAUUUAUAUAUAUAUAUAUAUAUAUAUAUAUAUAUAUAUAUAUAUAUAUAUAUAUAUAGAGGUAAACAGAUAACUGAAAAUGUAUUUUUCAAAUUGAAAAAUAAUUUUCAAAAUGAGUUUUACGUCAAACUAAUCCGAAAAUAGCAUUCCCAGUAAAUUUCAAUUUCAUUAUUAAAGGUGGAAAUCCUGAAUUGAUGAAAUAAAUAAUAAUAUUAUUAAUAUUAAUUAUUAUUAUUAUUAUUUCUGUGUGUAUCAACGAAGGGAUUAUUGAACUCAUGCAUCAUAUAUUUUUAUGGAACUUUUUAUUUUAUAAUAAGAAUGGUGGGUAAGCAUGAAAUAAAAUCUACAUCGUGGGAACAGUGAAAUGAAUAUUGCGUGGCACGAGCGAGGCCUUUCGCAUGAUUUGGGACAAAAAGAUUCUUGAUUACGACAUGCGAUCCACCGAUUUUUAUUUAUUUAUAAUUUUUUCUUUCAUAUUAGAUUAUAGUUUUGAUUCUCAAAUUUUAAUUUAUUGUAAUUUUUCACUUGAAUUUUUUAAAUUAUUAAUGUCGCAUCCCACAAUCUUAUUUUUUUUUGGCUAAAUUAGUAAUGUAGAAGAAAUAGAUGAUCAAAAUGUAUUUUAAAAUAUCUGACUCGAACUUUCUAAAUUUUGCAAUCGAGUCCUCAAAUUUUUAAUUUGUUAUAAUUUCUGACUCGAAAUUUUUGAAUUAUUGCAAUCAAGUCCCAUAACCAAAUUUAACUGGCUAAGUAUCGACAAAUUAUUAAAAUACUAAGUAAUGCGAAAAGUAAUUGAUGUGCGACAAUAAUUAAGAUACUAUAUCACUUUUAUAUUAAUAAUUUAUCAAUACUUAGUAAUUAAAUUGGUUUGUGAGACUUGAUUGCGAUAAUUCAAUAAGUUCGAGCAAAAAAUUAUAACAAAUUAAAUUUAUAGACUAAAGCGUCACGCACCUUACAGUUUGAGGACCAAAAGUAUAAUUUAUUCUUUCUAAAUCAUAUUCUCUUGCUUGGUUUUUAACCUUUUAUUAAGAAAUAAACUACUGGUUUAUUUAUUGAGACUUUUUAGUUAGCUAGUCAUUGUUAACAAAAACUUGGUCUUCACAAAUUGAUUUUUGGUUUGAAAACAAAAGGAAAUUAAAUUUUAUAAAUCACAAAAAACACGUAAAUCAAAGAUUUAUAAUCCCAGCGAAGCAUAAUGCCAAGUGGAGGAAAAAAUAAAAAAAAAACAAAUAAUGUAUACAUAACGACACAUAUUUAUGUCGCUAUGCUUUUUAUUAAAAUUUAGGUUUCUUACAACUUUUCAUUGCUUAAUUUAAGUCUCAGCCUCUAAAAAAUUUGUAAAAAAUGUCAUGUGGCCUGAUUUGGUAUGAUUCGACAAAGACUGAUUGAUGCCGAUUCAGCAUUAAUGAGUGUUUUUUCAUGUUUAAUUAUGGCAGAAACUUAAGGGACAAAAAUUUAGUAGGCAUCGUCUCCAAAAAAUUUGUUUGGGGAUGAUGCGGAUGGGUGCCGCGUGGCCCAUCCCAGAGAGAGAGAGAGAGCAGCAUAGGGAGAGAGGAGAGCGACUGUCGGAUGGGCCACGCGGCGCCCAUCCGCAAUAAGUUUGUGGACGAUGCCCAGCAAAUUUUUGUCCAUGGUAGAAACUUACGACUUGUUUAUUUCAGCUAUUGUAGAAUGCAACGAAAAUAUUCAUUUGUACUUUUUGCAGAAGUGACUCGUGCUAGAACGCGAUUUGUUCCGAAUUAUAGAGAUUGAUUCAUAUAUUCUCAGAUAGUUCACGAAAAUCUUCUAAUAUUUCAAACCCGCGAUACAUCGAACUAUGAAUAAGCGCGAUCUCUAUUCCACUAUUCAUAACCCUUUAAAAGCAAUAAGUUAAUGAAGAAUGUGCUUUCUCUCUUUAACAAGACGGCUCACAAAUUUACUCACGAAUUUAGGAGCAUUUUUCUAGUUUUUUCUUAUUUUUGUUUUUAUAAAAAAAAAAGGUAACUAAAAAAUUAGACCGAAUCACUUUAUUACUAUUAUUUUAAUAUGGCUAGAAUACAUCUUUAAUUAGCUUUUUAAUUUAAAAGCGAUAUUAAGUCUAAUCUAAUUAGACAGCAUAAUAACCGUCGGAUCGAGCUCGACCAUGGGCGCACCCGAUUCGGUUUAACUGAAUGCCAACAGCUAUUUUAGACUGCAGAAUCAAAAUUAGACUAAUUGGUUUCAAUAGUCGUUGUUUGUUUUACAGAAAUUAAAUUGUGAUUUUCAUUUCACUCUAAUGAUAAUUAGCCCAAUUCAUUUAAUGCCAAAUUCGACUUUGAAUUCCGAAUUGAUCUAUUCUAAAGUAGACCGCUCAAAAUUUUCUCUCACAAAUACCUUCCUCUCCCUUCAUCAGGGCUGGCAAAUGAGCGAGCCAGCUCGCGUUCGACUCAUGUUCUGCUCGAUAUUCGGCUCGCUCGAGCUCAGCUCGAAUUAAUUUCAAGCAAGCUUGAGCCUAAAUUUAGGCUCGAAAUUAAUUUCAAGCCGAGCUUGAGUAUUACUCGGCUUGCUCGAAUUAAGCUCGAAAAGCUCGAAAUAUAUAUAUAUAUAUAUAUAUAUAUAUAAUUAGACUGGAAUACUAUUAAUAGUAAAAUCCUCUUUUUGCUAUCAAGUUUUUAACCGUUGGAUGAAAAAUUGUAGAGUUAGGAUGAUAUUAGUCAGUUAGAGUUGAGUGGUCCCCCUAGGGUUGAGUGGUCCCCACUGGGUUAUAGUAUUUAAUCCAAUGGUUAGAAAUGAUGAAAAGAGUUGAUCCAAAGGCUAAAAAACUGGUAGUAACAAUGAAAUUUUGCUACUAAUAGUAGCCCAGUCCAACUCUGUAUAUAUAUAUAUAUAUAUAGAGUUGAGCUAAAAUACUGUCGAUAGCAAACGGGCUCCGUUGCCACCCAUUUGUUUUCAAUAAUGGAGCCUCCAAAUCGACGAUCGGCACCGUUGAGCAUGAUCUAUACCACUUGAAGUGUUUAGAAAUCAAAUUUCAUAUAUUUUCGAUAUUGUUCUCUUAUCCAUCGAGUGGACACAAAAAUGAACGGCUGAAAAUGAAUAUUCUUUAAAAAAUGAUGAUAGGAGUCUUGUAAUCAAGAUCAAGAGUAUAGAUCUUGUUUUAAAUAGUUUAAAAAAUUUUCUAACAAAAAUUCAAUUGAUUUGGAUAUUUUACGCCGUUAAACGAAAAAACGCAUCAUAUCGAUCAUCAAAAUUACAAAUUGUGAAAUCCUUUGAUCAUUAGUCAAAUGAUGUAAAAAAGAUUUGAAAUUUGAUUUCUAAAUACUUCAAGUGGUAUAGAUCACGUUCAACAGUGCCGAUCCUCGAUUUGGAGGCUCUAUCAUCGAAAACAAAUGGGUGGCAACGAAGCCCAUUUGCUAUCGAUAGCAUUCUAGCUCAGCUCUAUAUAUAUAUAUAGAGAGAAAGAGAGAGAGCUAGUCUCCUAUACUAUCUAUAGUACUAGGGCUCCGGUACUAUAGUCCCUUUUUUAUCUUCAGCUGUUCAAAUCUUCAGGUGUUCAAAUUAACGAUCCACAUCGUUAAAACUGAUCUAGGGUAUUUAAAGUUUUCAGAAAUAAAAUUUUAUAUUUUUUCGACAUAGUUUACUUUAUGAUCAAACCAUUUCAAAAUUGUCAAUUUUCAAAGACUACUUGUCACGCCCCGAAACCGCCAAUUUGGUCGGUUCGGGCAUGUACACAAACGCUGAACGGACAGCACCUUCCCUGUCCGCCCAAGGCUCAACCAUAAUUAUCAAACAUGUAUAGAGAAGGAAACAAUCCCAAGAUGACAUUUCAAUAUACAUGGCUUGCACGAGGACAAGCGACACAAGUUAGUGAAAGUAAACUAACUAAAGCAUUCAUACAUUGUAUUUUGAUUACUUUAAUUCAAAUACAAAACUUACAUAAUUAUUACAUUCAUUCUUCCAAUAUAUACAUUGCCAUUUCUCAAAUGAAUAAUUUACAUUUACUUUCAUCAACUGUAAACAGAUGAAAUAUACAAGGUACCACUAUACUGAAUGGAUGUCGCUAUCUAUAGCGCGCUGUCCCCGUCACGAUUCUCGACCACCCCGCACGAACUAGAACCUGUAUGGUUAGAGGGGUGAGAACUACUAAAAGUUCCCAGUGGGUUCGGCUGCCGACCUCGCCGACUCACCCACUAGGUUUAUUCAGGCAUAUGUAGGCAAAAAAAGAGAAUAGAUAGCAACCAGCUAUAAUAUGUAACUACUACAAUGCCUGCACAAAACUGAAAGAAACAGUAGAUAACAUAUGAAAUUGAUGCAUGCAUUCUGCUAAUAAUCUUUACCCAAUCAAACUGGUUAACCAUUUGGUUAAUAAUAACUCACCACCCAAAUCCCUCUAGAUCGGGGGACUCGAACCACCCGAGAGACCGUCUGCUGGACAAGUACGUUAGUCCUUGGGCAAGUACGUUAGUCCUUGAGCAAGUACGUUAGCCCAUCAUGUGACAACUCCGAAGUACACUGCUUGGGUGGAGCGACCACCGUCAAACUCAAAACAGACUAUGUGAGUAUGAUCUAAUCCUCACUGAGAGGAUAUACUAUAAUGCCACACUUUAACUAGCUCUUUAUGCUAGAUUUAUAUGUCCAAGUCUAGAUGCUAAUCAAUUCUAGUUCUAAUGCCACACAUUUUACAAGCUCAUUGACUUUGUUUAACAUUCACAAUACUGGAUGCCACUCAUGCAAUCUAUUCACAAUGUCACUUUGUCACUAUUUAAUAGUCCAAUACAAGUUCAUACAUCUAUAGGGUUCUAUGUUUACUAGUCACUGUUCACAAGUAAUUGUACCGUCAAGUAUACAAUUAAACCACAUGUCAUAAUUAACCACAUAUCCAGCUCAACCCUAUAAUGUAUGAAUAUCAAUUAAAUAUAUACAAUUCAUAUAUGCUCAAGAAAAGUGACAUAAACAUAAUAGGUCAUUCGAUGACUUCGGAAAGCACCACCCACCUUUAAAUGAUGCCGAAAUGCGAGAAAUCCACUUCCCGCGAUUUAUGAACCAUCACGAUCCUCGCUCGCGACAAACGAAGCUAAAAUGAGGUUUUCCUUAUUAGCGUGCCGUAGGCUCGUCGGAACGCCGAUCCGAGCUUUCCAACGCGUUAGUGUUACCUUCUAUUUGGUUUCCACACAAUCAAUUCCAAGCUAGGUCUCAAACCCUACAAAAGUGCAUUUUCGAGUUAAAGCUUUAUAUAAUCUACUACUAAUAAACCUCACAAAAGCACAUAGAGUAACUCAACUCUAAUCAGCCCAAUAACCUCAAGACUAACCGUUUAAAGGAUUUACUUUAUUCUCUAACCUGAGAUUACAAGAUAAUUUAUCUUAGUUCUCAGCUGUCAUAAUAUUGUUUCUAGAAUUACAUAGUUUUUCCCUUAGGUUUACCGUGGCAAAAUUAGCUUCUAGCAAUCAAGAAAACCCAAGCUUUAGAAACCAAUAAAAACUCCAAACCCAAUUUCUCCUUAGGAUAAGCAAACAUACAUUCUGACAACUAAUAGCCUAAGUUUUACUUCAAUCCAACUUACAUACACAUGCUGUUUAUAACACCAUUUCUAAGUUCACAUAGCAAUAUCUAACACACAUCUUCUCUCUAAAUUUCAUAGCAACUUCAAAGUCUAGCAAUUAAGAAAUCCUUUUAUAGAGUAAAUAUCAUAACUCUAAUCAAGAAACAGCACACUUACUUUGGGCUUCACUGCUAACCCUUAGCUCACAUAUAUGAUGUUCACAAUGUAGUUCUCUAUCACUAGGUUCUCAUGGCGAUAGGAGCUCUAGUUUAAUAUAACAUGUUUCUACCCAGGUUCUAUAAGAAUCUAUAUAGAAAUAUAUGCUUUAAUAAUCCAAUAACUUCCAAAACUAAUUAAUUAGGUGUCACAUGCUGAUGGAAGCAUCACAUAAUUAGGUACCAUGUCCUAAUAGAAAUAAUUUGCUAAGUCAAUACGUUCCGUUAACAAAUUAAAUUAACUUCUAUUUAAUACAAAUGCCCAAUUAAAUACUUCAACUUAAGGUUAAUUAGUUAAUAGGCUAUAUACUGGUGGGAGCACCUCUCAAAAUACAUGCAAAGUUUCAUACAUGCCCAUUUGCCAUAAUUAAUUAUCUCCCUCAUGCUAAUAAUUAAGUAAUUAGCAUGCUUCGUGCAUGCUUCAGACAUGCUUCAUACAUGCCAUAAUUAAUUAGCAUACAUGCUUCAUACAAUAAUUAUCAUACGUGCUACAUAUAUACAUGCUCCAUUAAUACUUCAUCAGAGGAAGCAUACAUGCUUCAUAAUUAGCACGUUUCAUACAUGCCCAUUUUCCAUUUGCCAUAAUUAACUAUCUCCUUCAUGUAGAUAUACAUAGAAUACGCAUAAUGGUAAACAUAUUCUAUAGUAGCAGGAGCUUUAUUAAUUAGCAUGCUUCCUUUUCACAUACGAGGGUUGUGGAGUCAAUUACCUUCCAUGGCUAUUUAAUUAAUACACCUUUUUCUAUAACUAGCUGCGCCGGAAACAUCCAACGCGCGUGGAGGAUCGUUCGGCUCGUCGGGUAGUUGAAGAUCCUCACUUCUCUUUUUCUUCUUCUCCUUCUCUCUUUUUUUUUUUAUUUCCUUUUCUCUUCCUUUCCCUCUCUCUCUCAUGCAUACAGGAUGAAGAGGAAGUGGAUAAGAAUGAUCCCCUGGCAGCUUAGUCAUUAAGAAAUGUACAAUUGCCUUUAGGUCCCUAAUUAUUAAGCAUAUAAAUUUUAGUCCAACUCAGAAUCUGAUACUUUUCGCGGAGCCCUUCUGAAUGUCCGUUUUUGCUCAAAUUUGACAGUCAGGCUCGGUUUAACUUAAUAAGAGUAAAGAAAUUUUAAUCUUUCAGUUUCGAUCAUUUUUUGUCAACGAAAGCUCUACCGACGAACAUUUUAACAGAUAGCUUAUUUUUCACUUUCCGGGUGUCAGAAUGGCGUGAAACUUUAAAUCUAGCCUCAUAAAAAUAAUCCUGAUAUAUUUCUAGAUUUUCAUAAUUUUCUGACACUGCGUAUUUUCUGCUAAAAUAUCAGCCCCGUUUCUUACAAAAAAUUCUAAAUCUUCUGAUUCCGUUCCGAUUUCCGCACAAGUCAUUUCAGACUUAUAUUUUACUUCUCUAAAUCCAAUAAAAAUAGUAUUUUACACUAUUUUUUAUUUACCCUUACUAUUAUAUUAAAAAUCCGAUAUAUUACACUACUGUAGCGAGUUUGGAGUUUGACGGUGUAGAAGAAUCUAAAUUUGUUCAAAUUUUGAUAGAAAAUACUUUAAACUAUCUACAUUAAGGUUAACAUUCUUGAUCUUGAAUUUAAAAGUCCUAUACUGAAAUUUUUAAGAUUAUUCAAUUUUCACUGUCCAUUUUGACAUAAUUUAUUUACUAAGUAAAUGAUGUCGAAAAAAACUAAAAUUUUAAUCCUAAGAACUUCAUAUACCUUAGAUCAUAUUUAACGGUGUGGAUCGUUAAUUUGAACACUCUAAGAUCGAAAAUAAGACUAUAGUACCGGAGCUCCGGUACUAUAGAUAGUAUAGUAGCAUAAUUCUAUAUAUAUAUAUAUAGUCUACUAUUCUAUUAAUAGUACCAACCAUUUGCAAUUAGGUUUUUUACCUUUGGACGAAGGAAUGUGCGGUUAGAAUAAUAGUGAUACUCUAGGGUUGAGUAAGUGGUUAGUUGAAUAAUAUAAUCUAACGGCACAAAAUUCGAUAGUACCAAGCAUUUAGUACUAUCGAUAAUAUAGUAGUCGGGCUCUCUCUCUCUCUCUCUCUAGAUAUAUAUAGUCCGGCUACUUUACUAUCUAUACUAUCUCACUACAACAAAAACGGUCUAUACCGACACUUUUAAAUGUCGGUAUAGGUCAAAAAAAGUGCUGCUGGCUAAAUUACCGACACUUUUAAAAAGUGUUGCUAUAUGUGGGGUCGCUAGGUAUACAGUGACAGUUAAAGAGUGUCGCUAUAACCUAAAAAAGUGCUGCUAAUUUAGCAAUACUUAUUUAAGCAUCUAGCAACCGCCGGAACUCUAUCUCGUUGGCUGCGGUAGCGGAGGAGGACGAGAGGGAAGGCCCCUUCGUCUAGAAUUUCAGUGGAUUGGGUGAGAGGAGAAAGGGAAAUGGUAAUCGAUUUUUCUUUUUUUUUUUCUUUUCUAUUUAGAAUCGGGCCAAAUGGGCUGGGUUGGGUGGGUUGAGUAUAGUAACCUUUUAUUUUUUGUUGAAUUCGGCUUUAUAUUUAGACAUUAGUAGAUUUUUUUUUAAUUUUGACAUAAAUGGAACACUUAGACAAAAGUGUCACAAACAUGUGUUCCUAUAACCUAAUUUUGUUGUAGUGUCUAUAGUACUAAGCGCUUUGUACUAUUGAAUUUUUUGCCAUUAGAUCUGUCUAUAUAUAUAUAUAGAGAGAGUCCGGCUAUUAUACUAUCGAUAUUACCAAGCAUUUGAUGCUAUCGAGUUUUCUGCUGUUAGAUUUAUCCCUUUAGCCAUUUUCAUCCGUUAGAUUAUAAUAUUCAACUAGCCACCCACUCAAUCCUAGGGGGCUACUAUCAUCCUAACCGCACAUCCUUUCAUCCAAGGACCGAAAACCUAAUAGCAAGCAGUGUGUGCUAUUACUAGUAUAGUAGCCUAAUUCUAUAUAUAUAUGUUCGGGCUACAAUACUCUUAUAAGUAUAAACCCCUUUAUACUUAUAAAUUUUCAACCGUUGGAUGUGCGAUUAGAUUGAUAGUGGUCCCCCUAAGAUUGAGUGGGUGGUUCGUUGAAUAGUAUGAUUUAACGGAUGAAAAUGGUCAAAAGAAUAGAUCUAACGGUCGAAAACUUAUGAGUAUAAAGGGGUUUAUACUAAUAAAAGUAUAUAUAAUAGCCAAACUCUCUCUAUAUAUAUAAUUAUAUAUAAUAUAUAUUUUAAUUAUAUAAAAUAAUAUAUAUUAUGUAUUUUAAUUAUAUGUAUAUAGAAUUUAGAUUAUUGGGCCCACAAAAGUAAACCAGCAAAAUCCUACUCUAAUUGCUCUCUUUUUCUCUUUUUCACUUCCUCGCAGAGCCGCUUUUCCUAAUUUUUUUAGUAUUAUAAUAUUGUAUUUUAUGCAUUUAUUUUAUAUGUUAAACUAUUAGAUAUUUUUUAUAUUAAAUUUUAGAUAAUAUUUUAUAAAAAUUAAAGUAUAGUUUUCAUGAUGUAAAGAAUUUCAAGCAGCUCGUUUAGGACUCGAGCUCGCUCGACUCGAAGUUACGCUCGAGCUCGGCUCGAAUUAAUUUCAAGCCAAGCUUGAGCCUAAAUUUAGGCUCGAAAUUAAUUUCAAGCCAAGCUUGAGCUGAGGUAAGUUCGCUCGAGCUCGGCUCGUUUUCACCCCUACCCUUCAUCACUCUACACUUUCUUAAUCAAAACUCUCUCUCAAAACCUUAACUAAAUGUUGAUUCUGUUUUUAAUUCUAUCUAAUGACUCGAUAGCUUAGUUCAUUAAUUUUCUGAAUGAAUAAAGCGGUAGUAUACUUUACUAUCUUUUUUUCUUAAAUAGAAAAUUAAAAAAAUCAAAUAUUUUUAAAUAAUUCAUCAUUUUAUUUUUCAUUCUAACGUAAUGUAAUGUAAUGUAAUUGAAUUGAAUUUAAUUUUUUUCCGUUCCUCUUCUAAUUAUGAACCAAACAUCUAGUUCGGACCGAAUCAAAAUUGCAGAUUUUGUUCGGUUUUGGGAUUCCGCUGGUUCCACGCCUUCCGCGCUAGACGCCACCCUAGACACAGGAAUGUAAGCUUUUCAUUUUUUACAAUUAAUUUUCUAACAUCUUCUAUUUGUUUCAAUUAAAGUCUCAAGUCUCAACCGUCAAUUUUCUUUCUUUUUUUUUUUCUUUUUUUUUAAACAGACAGAAAGAAUACCACAUUGCGAGAUUUGAUCAUUUCAUUAUGAUGUGUAAAAUUUUAAUUGGUAUUGUUUCAAUCUAUGUUAGUUAAUUCGUGAAUUAUUCGCGAAUUAUUCGCGAAUUUUUGAAGAAACGAAUUAAACGGCCUAAUUCGUAUUUUUUAGAAAAAUUCGGAAAAAAAUGCGUAAUUUUGAUAAAAAAUACGAGUUCGCGUAUUAUACGCGCGUGCCGUAUUAUUCGGCCAAAAAAAUGCUUUGUGCCCGCGCCGUCCGCACCCGCGCACUCUCCCACGCGCGCUCCCGCUCGCACCAUCUCACGCUCGCGGGCUUGCAGCUCGCGCGCUCGCGCGCUUGCGGCUGGCGGGCUUCACGGGCCGGCUGGCCCAAAACAGAAAAUACGAAAAAACACCCUUUCCAAACACGUCGCACAAAAUAGGAAAAAAAAAACUCUUUUCGAAUUUUUUACUUAAUUAGCUUAAUUUCCUAGCUAUUUAUUUUUAUAUUCUUAAAAAAUAUGAAUAUUUAUGCUAAUAGUAUAAAUUUUGAGAGAAAAAAAACUUAAUUUAAUAGCCGAAUUUUUUAUCCCGAAUUUUUAAUUAGUGAACGUAUAAUAUCCGUAUAAAUCACGUAUCCGAAUAAUUGAUGAAUCCGUUUUUUAACCGUAUUUUUCAACAAAUUUAAAAAUUAGAAGGCGGAUUUUAUCCGAAUUAUACCCGUACCAAAUUUUUGCCGAAUCCGAAUUAACUAACUAUGGUUUCAACCAGUGGAUCAACCAUCGGUUGAACCACUAACAUUAGUAUGUAGUUAUUAAUAUUUAAUUAUUAUUUUUUAAUUAUAUUUUAUUUUAUAUAUAUAUAUAUAUAUAGCAGGUCUGCUAUGCUCUCAGGAGCAUGGAGGCCUCCGUGCUCCUGAGCCAUUUUCGAUAAUGAAAUUUUCGAAUUGACGAUCGGCUCCGUUAGACUUGAUCUAAUGUAUUUAAAGUUUUUAGAAAAUAAUUUUUGCGAUUUUUUGAUAUCAUUUACCUAGUGAUCGAAAUGAUUCAAAAUUAAUAAUUUUUAAUGGUUGAUAUCUACCGUUUUCAAGUUUAAUGGUGUAGAAGUAUUCAAAUCAGAUAAAAUUUUGAUACAAAAUUCUUUAUACUAUCUAUAACAAGAUCAAUAUUUCUGAUCAAAAAUUUUAAUGCUAUAUCAUCACUUUUUAUAGAAUUUUUAUUUUCAGCCGUUAAAAAUUAUUAAUUUUAAAUCCUUUCGAUUGCUAGGAAAAUGAUAUCGAAAAAUCGCAAAAAUUAUUUUUUAGAAACUUCAAAUACGCUAGAUCAAGUCUAACGGAGCCGAUCGUCGAUUUGAAAAUUCUAUCAUCGAAAACGGCUCAGGAGCACGGAGACCUCCGUGCUCCUGAGAGCACAGCAGUCCUGCUCUCUCUCUCUCUCUCUAUAUAUAUAUAUAUAGAGAGAGAGCUAGGCUGGUAUAUUAUCGAUGACACGGAGGCCUCCGUAUUACUAAGUUGUUUUCAAUGUUGCGGCUUCCAAAUCGACGAUCGGCUCGGUUAAACUUGAUCUACACUAUUAAAAGCAUUUAGAAACUAAAUUUCAUAAUUUUUCGAUAUCAAUUACUUAUCACACCUAAUAAACAGGGGAAAAAAAGACUACUACAAUAAAAAUCCAUCAACAAAUACCCACUUUCACACUGUUGCUCAAGAACAGCAAAUCAGCUUUGAUAUUCUCAGUAAGUAACAAUUAAGGAAUUGCUAGACUUGUUUCUACAACAAUUCAGUGCACAACAACACAAGAGCGGCGAACAGAUCUACGUAACCAGAUCUUCAACAUAGCGCCAGAUUAGAACAUCACACACGCAAACUUAUCAAGCAAAAGAAUAGAGAAAAAUGAUCGGAUCAUCUCCCGAGCAUUCCAUAGCACCUAAAUCCAAACGAAUUCCCACUACAUAAACAAAUCAACAGCAUGAACAUUAGUAGAACUGCCCUAAUUAUGCCACUUCCUCCAAAAGCAAAACAUUGAAUUACACAAUGCAGCAUGUAAAACUCCACCAAAACGCUCACCUACUGGAUCAGAUCAACAAAAUUUCGAUCCAAAGACACAAAAAACACUGGAAAACCGCAUCUUUUGGAUCCGAUCUCAUCAGGAUCUCCAAUUCUUGGAUUCAAAACGCCAAAAUUAUAAGAAAAAAAAAACACAGGAAUCGUGGGAGACCCGAGAGCAUCCGAACACUUGUUUUUACCUAUCGAUUAGCUCCAACGCUCAAAAGCACCACAGGGGAAGAACGAUAGAGCCACAAUGUUCAAAAAUAGGGGGUUCAAAAUCAAGAGGAAUUAGAAAUGUGCGGACAAAAACAAACACCAAACCCUUUAGUAUUUAUAACAACUAGAGAGAGGAAAAGCAAGCACAACACAGUGAGAGAUGAGAAAUCAGGAAGAGAGAGCACAGAGGGACAAAGAUGAGCAGGCGCAUGGAAGCCCAACAGAAAAUCAUACACAGAAAGGACAGAGAGAGAGAGAGUGAGACAGCACGCGAGUGCCAUGCCCUACGGGAGGUGGGCUGCGAUCGCGGAGGACAACAGGAUAAGGGAAAAAAAUACCGUUAUGUAUAUCUUGCAUACCUUGCAUUAAUGCUAAUUAAUGCCUGCUGACCACACACCACAGGGAGGAGCCACGCCGGACUGGAUAGCUGAACACGUGCGGCGGAGGAAAAGACGCCGCCCAUACCGCUGACGGCACAACGGCAACCCCCGCUUGUACGAAAAGUCGGACGGGACAGGGCAGAUGGGUGACAGAAGGAAGGGAGGCGCCAUACCGCACGGCGUCGCGGCUGCGCAGAGAGAACGAAGGGAGAGCGAGGGGGGGAACGCUGCGCCGUACGGGAAGACGACUGUGUUCCCGAAAGAGGACGUAGACCACCGCAGCGAAGGCGGAGAGGACGAAAAAGUCAGAGCGGACCAUUCCGGCGAAGACGAAGAGGAAGAAAGGAGACCGCGGGAGGGGGCGAGGGGGAGGGGGGGAGGGGGGGGGCACGCCGUACGCGACGGCAGAGAGCGCGAAACUCGGGGAGGGCUCUGUUAGGGUGUCGAUUCAUAAGUUUAUAUAUUGAUGUAUUUUGUAAGAAUAUAUAUAUAUAUAUAUUUUUUGAAUUUGAUCCGAUUUAAAAUUUGUAUUAAUUUAAGAUUUUAAAUUAAUAAAUUCAGAUUUAAGAUUUAUGAACAAAACUCAAAAUUUGAAGUUUAUUUUGAAUCUGUAAUUUGAAUAUUAGUAGUUAUUGAAGACAUAAAUCUAUUUAUAAACUAAACUAUCUUUUAAACUUGUCUUUAUUUUCAAUUCAGUUAAUUUUUUUCUGUUUGAGAUAAUCUGUUGAUAGUUCAACAUUUUAAAAUUUUAAAUUAAUUUACAAUUUUGAGUUAAAAUAUAGAUUUACAGUAGAUAUCCUCUGAUUGGUAAAAAUUUAGAUAAGCAUAAACUUUUUUUCUUGUUUUAGAGAUAAUGAGGAAUUAAACAAAUUUUGAAUUAAAAUAAAAAUUCAUAGUAAAUAUUUUCCGAUUGGAAAAUUUUGGAUAAAUAUGAAUUUUUUUUUUUCUGUUUUAGAAAUAAAUAGAAAUUAAAAGUUUGUUUCAUUAUGUUAUUUAUUUUGUGUAAGGAAAGAGAAGUCAAAUUUUUUUCCCACAUAAUAAAUAGAUCUGUCGACAUGCUUUUAUAUAUAGUAUAGAUUAUUCUCUUUUUAUAUAUAGUAUAGAUUAUUCUCCUUUUUUAAUUAUUAGAUAUACAUUUUAAAGUUCCAUAUUUUAUAAGACUAAUAUAUGCUAAUAGAAAGCGAAAUGAGCUAAGUGAUUUUAAGCCGUCAUAGUUUAAUAUGAGUGAUAAAAAAAAUUCGGGCAAGUUCCAUUAAAAGUAGACCAGUUCAUCGGGUUUGAUGAUUAAACCACCGAUCAGAAAGGUUUAAAGCGAAUUUUUGAGUUAUCUGAUUUGAAGGAUUAAACCAAAUCGCUUUAUAGACUGAGCUAGUCAAAUUGGCCAAAUCUCGCAUCGAUCUGAUUUAUAAUUCAUUGAUAAUAAAAAGAACGGAACAAAAGAAGAGGCGUCAAUGUGAGAAACUAAACCCCUAUUUCACCUGAAUGAAUAAUCUCACAUGAGUUUUUAUUAAACUUCUCCCAAUAAAUUAAGGUCUCAAUCAUCAAAUGACAAACACCUUACAUAUAUGGAGAGAAUUAAUAGGGUAGAACAUUUCAUGCAUUAGCUAGCACUUGGGGAAUGCACGUCCAAUGGCCUAAAAUCGUCCAAAUAUAUAUAUUUGAUGGGACAACCAUAUUUACCACUUAGAUAUUUUUUUUGAGCUGAGUUGAAAUAUUAUUAAUAGUAUUUGAUUUUUUUUGUUAUCCAUUUAAUCGUUAGAUUUACAUUUUAAUCAAUUUUAUCCUUUAGAUCAUACUGUUCCACCAAUCCUUGAAGGACCAUCACUAUCAUUUUAAUUCUAUAAUUUUUUAUCCAAGAGUUAAAAACUCGAUACCAAAUUUUUUUCUUUUCUUUUCGAUGAAUAUAUAUAUAUAGAGAGAGAGCAAUGAUUCGGUACUUUAUUUUUUAAAAAAUAAAAAAGAUCUUAACCGUUGAUUAAUAGAGGGUAAAGGUGUAAUUUUAAUAUUUAACAGGAAAAAAGGUUACUUUAUUUGAGGUUAUUUUGGUAAUUAUACUAUGUAACAUUUAAAGAAACUUUUAAUUGAUAUCCUAAAUUUAUGUAUUAAUUUGCACUAAUUUGAAAAAUUGAUUGAUUAAACAUUAAUUUAGUCAUUUACUUUAGAAAUUUUAGUGUUUCUAAAAUUUAGGCAUUAAUUUAAAUUAUAGAAAUUUUAGAAAUAGUUCUAUUUCCAAAUACGUUGAAUUUAAAUAUUAAAUAUUAAAUAUUUAAAAUUAAAAAAAUUGAAAUUUAAGUUAGAAGAAUUUUGUAUUAGUAUUUAAAAAAUUUGUAAUGUUGGUAAAUAUUUUAAUUCAACAUAUUUAAUAUGUUUAAGAAACUUUUAAAUUCCUAUUGUUUAGACAUUAAUUUUGUAUCACUUAUUUUAAAAAAAUUGAAUGUUGGUAAAAAAAUUAUAAAUUAAAUGUAUUUAAUAUGUUAAAAAAUUUUAGAAUUGUUUUACUUUAGACAUUAAUUUUGUAUCACUAUUUAAAAAAAUUUGUAAUGUUGGUCAAUAUUUUAAAUUUAACAUAUUUAGUAUAUUUAACAAAAUUAUGAAUUCAUCUUAGACAUUAAUUUUGUAUUACUAAUUUUUGAAAUUGAAUGUGGGCAAAUUUUAAAUUCAACAUAUUUAAUAUGUUUUAAAAAAAUUUAAGAAUUUUUCUAAUUAGAUAUUAAUUCUUUAUCACUAUUUAAAAAAUUUAAUGUGGAUAGUUGAUUAGAAAUAUAGGGUAUAAUUCAAAUUUAUUCUUGGAAUAGAAUUGUAUGGACAAAAUUAAUUCAAAUUUUGGUAGUAAAAAUUGAUUUUUAAAAAUAAUAAGAUCAUGUAUUGUAAUUUAAAAUAUAAGCUGAAAAUAAAAUAAAUUUGAAGUUUAGAACCUAAAAAGUAUACAAAAGCUAUAAAUCUAAAUAGUAUAGUGCAAUUUAAACUUACCAAUAAAUAAAUUUAGACUGUAUAAUUUAAAUUUUAAACUUAUAAUAAAUCUACACCAUAGAGUUUUACUAGAGUAAACAAAAUUAGAAAUGUAGAUAAAUUAAAUAAAUUUAUAUUGAACAGAGCUAGACUGUUUGUUUAUUUUAUCAAUUUGAUCAGUCUAAUUAAUUUAAUUUAUUACAUUGAUUUUGACUAUUACUUUUAAAAUUUUUCAGCUUUUAGUUGAUUUUUUAAAUUUUAGUUCCUUACCUUUUCGUUUACAAUUAGAUUCUUAACUUUUAUUAUUUAUUUUAAUUAAAUUAGUAUCAAUGAUUUAAAAAUCAGAUUGAACCGAUAGAUUCGACUAAUCAGACCUUAAUAAGAUUAAGAACAAUUUAAAACUGUUAAAGAGAAUAAACGUUUUAUACAGAAUGACAUUUUAACUGUUAGAGCUAAUAAAUAUUUUAAACGUAAUUUUAAACAUAAAAAUUAAAAAAAUUAGGAUUACUAGUCAGAAAAAAAAAUGGUUAGGAAUUUGAAUUCGAACCCAACUAAUAAACGCAAAACCUAUUUCCGAACUCGACGGAUUUGAAAAAUCCAUAUCCAAAUCUGAAACAGACCAAUUAUUCGAAACCCAAAACCAAACCCAAGCCUAAAAAUCGGAACCCGAACAAUUAUUUCCCUUUACUAUAUUUCAAAAUAUUUUAUAUUAAAUUUAAAAUUUUAAAAUAUAUAUUUGAAUAUAAUAUUAAACUUUAUAUAUGAUUCGGGUCGGAUUCAAGGUGGAUAUAGACAAAAUCC
rnacentral:lncRNA from 1 species